GGGUCGCGGCGCCGCCGACAGACCGCCGAACGGACAGGGUUUUCCCUGUACCGCGGACAGAGUCUCCCCUGUACAUUCAAGGCGUCGCAAUCAAUACAAUGUACGAAGUUCCAACCAGGAACACAUUUCAAACAAAGAUUGCAUAAGGAAGUAUCAAAAACAUAGUCUACUUGCUAUUACAAGCAUUCACAUUAUUUAGAUACAUUUUACAUCACAAUUACAUAAUACAUUCUUUUUAGCUUCCAAAUACAAUCCAGCUUUAACAAUGUUAUUACAAUUUGAUUCUUUUCAUUCUCUUGCAUCCCUAAGUAAGGCCAACUCAGGGUACCGCUAUCUCUGGUCUCGGUGGUAGGGCGCUAACUAUGGAACUACGCCCUCGCCUCGCGCCGCCGCGCCGCUCACGUGUGAACCUGUAACACCCCAAAACCACGUGGGGUGAGAACGAACUCCAUGGUUCCCAGUGGGUACGGCCACCCAAGGGAAAAGCUCGACCAAUAGGUCCAAGGGAGGCAACUGCAAGUUAAUUCAAUAAACAGAUAGAUAUAGAUCUUUAAUAUGCAACUAAUAAAACCAUGCUUUGCCUCACGAAUACAAUAAUGCCAUACUAUAUGCGAAUCAUGCAACUACACAAGUAGAAUAAAUGAUUUAACUUUCUAUCAUGCUAUCCAUAGUUUUUUCAUAAUUUAUACAUCUUGUCACCUUACAUCGUUGGUUAUUUGCUUUUAAGAUUUUCCUCUACCCUAGCCAAGCUAACCACCCGACUCGGUCUCGAGUCAAUCAUCUGCGGAAUACCGCAUACAUCCAGGCUCGAGAUGAUGGACGUCUCACAUACACCUCAGCCUUAAAUCCACUCGAUAGGGAUACCAAAUCUAUAGCUCAUAAUGCUUAAAGUACAUUCACUUGGCUUUUACCCAAUCUUGCCGUUUAAUAUUGUUAACCCCAAUAACUCAUACCCCAAAUCCCGUCAUAACAGGGGGCCUCGAACCACCCCUAGGGACCGUCUACGGGAACUCGCUCCCGAGGUGACUAUUUCCGAAAACUCACCGCUUGAGGGGGAGCUACCUCCCUCAAGCCAAGACGUAUCAUGAGUACAGAUCUAAUCCUCAUCUUGAGGAUUUAUAGCCACUUGUCACAAUGCCAUUGUCAUGAUAGGUUUUCUACCUAUUUAUUCAUGCCACUCUCUAUGUCAACUUGGUCCAAUGCCACUCUUGGUUAAACUAUGUUUAACAACUAUAUCCUCUAUGCAAAUCAAUGUCUCUAUUGUCGAUGCCGCCUUUGUUUACUAAUGUCUAAGUCCAACUUUCACAUUCACACAAUAAUAGGGUCCUAACAUACAUGUCCAUUAUGGUUCUACAUUUCUCUAUGUUCAACUUCGUUAGAAACAUGUCAUUGAAAACAAACAAGGUUCACAUGUACUUAGCCCAAUCAUGCAUGAAUGAUACAAAAUAUAUAUACACAAAUGCGACAAGUGUUUGCUAGGUUCAUGACAUUAGGUUCACACUAUACUUGUUCAACCUACGUUCAAGACACUAGGUUCAUAUCAUCCAUGUUUAACCUAUGUCCAUGACUCUAGGUUUAAUGCCACUCGAUCUAAUGUAUAUAGAUUGUCCAUAUGCACAUUUCCAUUUCUUAAUAUUAACCACAUGCUUGCAUUUAUUAUUUCUAUAUCAUGCUUAUCUUAUCAUUACUUAGCAUUAUCCACAUGCAUGCUUAUCAUGUAUACUUUAGCAUUAAUCAAUGCAUUCAUCUUGCACUAUUUACACUAAGUCAUCAUGCAUUCCUCUUAUCAUGUUCUUAUAAUGUUAACAUUCAUAUGCCCUUUAUCUUAUGCAUUCGAAGCAUUAAUCACAUGCAUUUAUCUAGCAUUUCUAUAAUAUGUUAACAUGCAUUCUUUUCACAUUCUUACAUUAUGUCAAAUGCAUUCCUCUAGNNNNNNNNNNNNNNNNNNNNNNNNNNNNNNNNNNNNNNNNNNNNNNNNNNNNNNNNNNNNNNNNNNNNNNNNNNNNNNNNNNNNNNNNNNNNNNNNNNNNNNNNNNNNNNNNNNNNNNNNNNNNNNNNNNNNNNNNNNNNNNNNNNNNNNNNNNNNNNNNNNNNNNNNNNNNNNNNNNNNNNNNNNNNNNNNNNNNNNNNNNNNNNNNNNNNNNNNNNNNNNNNNNNNNNNNNNNNNNNNNNNNNNNNNNNNNNNNNNNNNNNNNNNNNNNNNNNNNNNNNNNNNNNNNNNNNNNNNNNNNNNNNNNNNNNNNNNNNNNNNNNNNNNNNNNNNNNNNNNNNNNNNNNNNNNNNNNNNNNNNNNNNNNNNNNNNNNNNNNNNNNNNNNNNNNNNNNNNNNNNNNNNNNNNNNNNNNNNNNNNNNNNNNNNNNNNNNNNNNNNNNNNNNNNNNNNNNNNNNNNNNNNNNNNNNNNNNNNNNNNNNNNNNNNNNNNNNNNNNNNNNNNNNNNNNNNNNNNNNNNNNNNNNNNNNNNNNNNNNNNNNNNNNNNNNNNNNNNNNNNNNNNNNNNNNNNNNNNNNNNNNNNNNNNNNNNNNNNNNNNNNNNNNNNNNNNNNNNNNNNNNNNNNNNNNNNNNNNNNNNNNNNNNNNNNNNNNNNNNNNNNNNNNNNNNNNNNNNNNNNNNNNNNNNNNNNNNNNNNNNNNNNNNNNNNNNNNNNNNNNNNNNNNNNNNNNNNNNNNNNNNNNNNNNNNNNNNNNNNNNNNNNNNNNNNNNNNNNNNNNNNNNNNNNNNNNNNNNNNNNNNNNNNNNNNNNNNNNNNNNNNNNNNNNNNNNNNNNNNNNNNNNNNNNNNNNNNNNNNNNNNNNNNNNNNNNNNNNNNNNNNNNNNNNNNNNNNNNNNNNNNNNNNNNNNNNNNNNNNNNNNNNNNNNNNNNNNNNNNNNNNNNNNNNNNNNNNNNNNNNNNNNNNNNNNNNNNNNNNNNNNNNNNNNNNNNNNNNNNNNNNNNNNNNNNNNNNNNNNNNNNNNNNNNNNNNNNNNNNNNNNNNNNNNNNNNNNNNNNNNNNNNNNNNNNNNNNNNNNNNNNNNNNNNNNNNNNACGUACUGAGUAAGAAUAUAUUUUAAGUUUUCAGUUUCGACCCCAUUUGGUCACCGAAAACUGUGCCGAAAUGUAACUUUAUCAGAUAACUCUCGGAUUUUAUUUCUCACUCUACGGGUGUGAGAAAAAUAUGAAACUUUAAAUCUACCCUCAUAAAAAUAUUUCUGAAUUAUCCUCCAAUUUUCAUAAUUUUCUGAGACUGUGCAUUUUCUACUAAUUUAUCUGUCCCGUUUUCAACAGAAAAUUCUAGAUCUUCUGUUUUCAUUCCGAUUUCAGCACAAGUCACUUCUGACUUAUGUUUUACUUCUAUAAAUCCAAUAAAAAUAGUUUCUCACACUAUUUUUAUUUAUUUUUAUUUUUAUACCAAAAUCUAGUAUGUUGCACUAGUGGUGCAUUGAGUUGAGGUCAGUAAUUGCCCACUGGGAACUAUAAAUUAUAGUUCUCACGCCCUCUGUUUUAUGUUUUCUUUCAGAGCCUUUCACGCCGGGAGAGGCUAGGGACCGUGGGAAGGGCGUUGCUUCGAGCUAACUCUUCAGUGCGUGACGAGUCGCUAGGUGGUCUACCUCUCGAUGUAUUUAAUUUGGAGAGGUUGAGAGCUGUACCAGUAUAUUACAGACCACCCCUUUUGUGUACUAUUUUGGAGAUGAUAUUGUAUAACUUUAUGUUUCACUCUUGUUGUUUUAGUAUUUUCCUUUUGUGUACUAUUUUGUAAAUGAUAGAUCUAUCUGUGCUCUGAUAUCUCUAGAUGUAGACUAUCUUUGGUUUUAUUUUCCGCUGUUGUUUUAGACGCCUUAUAUGUGUUGACAUAUGGCGGGUCUGGGCAUGCUACCGGGAGGGCCUCUGCCGAUCCCGGGGCGUGACAACACCUCCCCACCGUUUCUCGUUGUAGAGGCUCUAGAAAUGCCUCUCGCCGAACGUUACGACGAGGUCUCGGCUUCCUUGGUCCAAAAUAAUGUUCAAUCGGCCUUAUCUUGCCGAUAGCUUUUCUCCCGCUCGACGAAUCGAAAUUCCGACUUCGCCCCCGCAUUUUGACACCUAGUAAUUAGGUUAACAAGGCUACAAAUGAGAUCAAUCUCAUACUUUACCAAAAACCCCAUUUUGGAGCCCUAGGGUUCACAUCUUGCCAUUUGCAAUUUGGAACCCUAGCCUCUAGCUCUAAUCCACCAACAUUGGUGCAAGAGGUCCAUUUGACCCUAUUUCAAAAGCUCAAAACCCAAAACCCUAAGUUUCCAAAAGCUAGGGUUAGGGCUUACCUCUUGUGCUAGCUCCCAAGAGAAGAGGAGAAGGAGAGGGAGAUGUCCAAAGCUCCUCUUUGAUCUCCUUCUUCUUCUCCUUCCUUUUCUUCUUCUUCUUCUUCCCCUUCUUCUUCUCUUUUUCAUUCUCCUUCUUUUCCUUCUAGAGAGAGAAAGAGAGAUGAGUGAAAGAGAGAGAGAGAGAGGGAAAUGAGAGGCUGAGGGAGAGAGACAUGGGGCCUACAUACCCCUCUAAUGUAACAAAAUCCAUUUUAGUCCUCAACUUUCCAUCCAUUGCACUGCCCUCACUGGGCAUUUUUCACCCAGAGGGACCGGUCUCCCCGACCUGGGACCGGUCCUUGAGAGCCUCCCCAGACAUCACGCGUUCGGGAACCGAUCUCUCCCCGGGAGACCGGUCCUCGGGAGACCGGUCCUCGCCUGAGAGACCGGUCCUCGAGAGCUCGAUUUUUAGGACAUAGUUGAUUUUGGCCUUCUCUCGCUGGCGUCGCACACGGGGACCGGUCCCCUCAACCUGGGACUGGUUGCAUCAAAGAUCCCCAGCAACCACCAGCCUCGGGGACCGGUCUCUCCCUGCCAGGGACCGGUCCCCGAGAGCAACUUCAGCCCAGUGCAAGUUUUGCACUAUAUGCUCUCGCGGACACGUUUUCAAUGCACUUUUUGUGUUUUGGACAUCUUUAACUUUUUCGAAUGAUACUCACUCGACAAAUAGUUGAUCCUUGACGAAGUACAACUCUCGGAUUUUGAGAAUUCACUUUCUUACAUCCUCCCCUCCUUAAAAGGAGUUUCGUCCUCGAAAUGAACUAAAUUUUUAACUUUAAUUUAAAUCCUUACCUUACUCUUCUAGAUGGGGAUGGUGCUUUCUCAUCAGAUCCUCGAGUUCCCAGGUGGCCUCACGAUCAUCAUGAUUGCUCCACCUAACUUUCACAUAGGGAAUUUCUCGAUUUCUCAACUUUCGCACCUCUCGGGCGAUAAUCCCUACCGAAAACUCUUCAUAGCUCAAGUCCUCUUGAAGUUUCGGUGGUUCAUAUAACAUUGCGUGCUCGGCGUCGUGAAUAUACUUGCGGAGAUUGGAGACAUGGAACACAUUGUGUACAUCCGUGAGCUUCGGUGGUAAAGCGAGUCGAUAAGCCACCGUGCCAACUCGCUCCAAUAUCUCGUAGGGUCCAAUGUACCGGGGUCUUAGCUUUCUUCGCACUCCAAACCGCUUCACACCCCACAUCGGUGAAACCUUCAAGAAUACGCAGUCGCCCACAGCAAACUCGAUAUCUCGACGGCACCUAUCUGCAUAGCUUUGCUGUCUAGACUGCGCCGUGAGCAAUCUCUUGCGAGCAUGGCGGACUUUCUCCUCUGCUUCUCGCAACACAUCCGGGCUGAACUCGGCACACUCACCUACAUCGCUCCAGUGUAUAGGAGACCGACACGUCCGCCCAUAGAGGGCUUCAAAUGGUGCCAUCUCCACACUAGCGUGGUAACUGUUGUUGUAGGCGAACUCGGCCAUCGGCAAAUGAUCACACCAACUCUCUUUAUAGUCGAUGACACACGCUCGCAACAUAUCCUCCAGAGUUUGAAUGGUUCUCUCUGUUUGCCCAUCGGUCUGAGGAUGAAAUGCGGUGCUAAAAUCGAGCCGUGUGCGAAGGGCUUCCUGCAGGCUCUUCCAGAAGUGUGAAGUGAACCGGGGGUCACGAUCCGACACGAUCGAUUUUGGCACCCCAUGCAGUCUCACUAUCUCAUCGAGAUAUACCUGCGCUAACUUGUCACCCGACCACGUGGUGUGGAUCGGCAAGAAGUGAGCCGAUUUCGUCAAUCAGUCCACGAUUACCCAAAUCGCAUCAUGGCCGCCUGUUGAGCGAGGCAAGCAGACCACGAAGUCCAUCGAUUUAUCCUUCCAUUUCCAAACGAGGAUUGGUAGGCUUUGAAGCUUUCCCGCUGGAAAUCGACGCUCGGCCUUCACUUGUUAGCAUGUUAAGCAUUUUGCCACAAAGCGUCCAAUAUCACCCUUCAUACCCGGCCACCAAUAGUGCAUUUUUAAUCCUUGAUAAUCUUGGUGCCGCCCGGGUGAUCAGCAUACGAAGAUCGAUGUGCUUCCUGUAGAAUUAGCUCGUGAAGCUCUCCGUUCUUCGGCACACACCAUCGGUUUUGAAACCGAAGUGCACCAUCGGCGUCUAUAAUGAAAUUGCCACUUCGUCCUUCCUCGAUGUUUCGCAACACCAUUUGGAGUUCUGGGUCCGCGAGUUGCAGAUUUUUAAUCCUCUCCAACAAGGUCGGUUGGACAACAAGUGCCAUCAACUGAGCCGGAGUCUCAGGAGCAACCACCUCUAGAUCCAUCCGUUCCAUGUCUAGCCAUAACGGUGUCUAGUUUGUAACCCACAUCGAGAGGUUCUCCGCCGACUUUCUGCUCAAUGCAUCAGCGACCACAUUAGCUUUUCCGGGGUGGUAAAGAAUAUCGACAUCAUAGUUCUUUAACAAUUCCGACCACUGCCGUUGUCUCAUGUUGAGCUCUUUCUGUGUGAACAGGUAAUUUCAAACUCUUGUGGUCGGUAUAGAUUUCACAAUGGGCACCGUACAAGUAGUGCCGCCACAGCUUCAGGGCGAAAAUUACCGCCGCUAGCUCCAAGUCAUGGAUGGGGUAGUUCUUUUCAUAGCUCUUCAGCUGAUGGGAUGCAUAAGCAAUCACCUUUCCAUUUUGCAUCAAAACACACCCCAAUCCUAGAUAGGAAGCAUCGCUGUAGACUACGAAGUCCUCGCCUUGAACCCGUAGAGCGAGCACCGGAGUCGAAGUUAACCUUUGUUUCAGCUCUUUGAAACUCCGGUCGCACUCCUCGCUCCAUACAAACUUGGUGCCUUUCUGAGUCAGGCGGGUGAGUGGAAUCACUAUCUUGGAAAAGCCUUCCACAAACCGCCUAUAAUAGCCCGCCAAGCCCACGAAGCUUCGGACCUCCGUGACAUUAGUCGGGGGCGGCCAAUCCUUGAUUGCCUCAACUUUCCUCAGGUCUAUAGAAACUCCACCCGCGGAAAUUACAUGCCCUAGAAAUGCUAUUUCUCGGAGCCAGAAGUCACACUUCUUCAACUUAGCAUACAGCUUCUCCUCCCGAAGGGUUUGAAGCACUAUCCUCAAAUGCUCGGCAUGUUCCUCGUCACUACGAGAAUAGACCAAUAUGUCGUCUGUAAAGACCACGACAAAUCGAUCCAAAAACUUCCUGAAGACACGGUUCAUCAAGUCCAUGAAUGCCGCUGGAGCAUUCGUGAGUUCAAAUAGCAUAACCGUGAAUUCGUAGUGCCCGUACCGCGUACGAAAUACAAUUUUCUACACAUCCUCCGGCUUAAUUUUCAACUGGUGAUAGCCGGACUGCAAAUCUAUUUUCGAGUACACACACGACUCCUGCAACUGGUCGAACAGGUCGUCGAUUCGGGGAAGUGGGUACUUGUUCUUGAUCGUGACUCUGUUCAACUCUCGAUAAUCCACGCAGAGUCGAAACGAUCUGUCCUUCUUCUUUACAAAAAGCACUGGGGCUCCCCACUGGGUAAUUACACUUGGCCUGCGAUAAUUUGCUUGUCGAGCGUCUUCAAUUGACUCCUCAACUCCUUCGUUCCGCCGGCGCCCAUUCGGUACGGAGCCUCGAGAUCGUGUGCGGGGUACGGGAACCAAGCUAUACGAACUCAAUCUCCGAUCCGAUGGAUCCCCGGCCAACUCGCGGGAAUACAUCGAACUCCCCGGACCACGCCGGUAACUCCUCCAAUGGUUGGAGCUUUACUUGGUUCCACUUCCACAACAGUUCGCUAAGAUGAAUGUCGUGCGCAACCACUUUUUGACCAACUUCCCUUGCUCUCGUCGCCGACAUCGUGCGCCCGAGCGAAGCACGAGCUCUGACAAGCCCGGAUAGGUUAAACUCCCUGCUGUCCUUUGUCACGCCCCGGGACGACGCCCAAUUUGGCCCGACCCUGAGCACGUUCAAACAGACGCCGAGGACAGAUUUUCCCUAUCCGCCAAGGCUCAUUCACAUGCUACAUUUAUAUCAUUAGAGGAACCACUAGCGGAAACAUACACAAACGGCUUACGACGAGGGUAAGCAAUUUAGCCAUUAGUGUAAUAGAAAAGGAAACGUAAACCUUCACUUGUACUAUGAUUCAUUUUGAUCAUCAACAUUGCAUUCAUCUUAUCUCAUUUUCGAAUUGCUUACAUUUCGAUUUCAUCAUUUCUUCUCUUACAUCCCAUUUAACCUCAAAAUACAUUUUACAUUCUUUCUUUACAAUUACUAAUCAUCAAGUACAAAGAUGAUAAACAAAGGGUGUCUACUUAACAAAGUACCCAACUUGUGGCCUCUACCUAAGGCGCGGGGGAUACCUUUACUCGGUCGCUCGCCGGCUUUCGGGCUUCGGCUGCCCGUGCUCUGAUGGAAAUAUUGGCGGUGAGAACUAGAACAACAGUGUGUCCCAGUGGCCGUUCGGGUCUCAACAAUCACCGACUUUCCCACUAGGACUAACUCAGGCAUAAUAGAAAGAAUAAGCUGCAUAUAGUAACCAAUCUAUACAGGAUGCUAAUAUGCCUGAACAAUAAGCAAGGAGUAUGCUCAACAUUAAAUGAAUGCAGAUUAUGCUAAUUCUUUCGUUCUUUAUCUUUACACUUUGUUCUUUGUUCUUUACUCUUUGUUCUUUAUUUUUUACUCUUUGUUAUUUAUUCUUUAAUCUCAAGGCUAACGCGGGGGUAUCGCCACGUUAACUUGCUUCACAUUAAGUCCAUCAUCGCAGGAACUCACCCGCUAGGACCGUCCUUCGGGUUUACUCCAACCCGUGAUGCAUAACUCCGGAGCGCAUCGCCCGAGGGGGAGCGACCGCCCUCGAGCACGGAACUCAUAGCAAGUAUGAUCAUAUCCUUAACUCAAAGGAUUUAUAAUGUAACAUACCGAACUUCUAAAAUCAUGAAGUUACGGUGUACAUUUAAAUGUUUCCGGCGAGGUUGCGGUGGAAUGUAACAUACCGGAUUUUAAAUAUAAAAAUAAAAAAAAAUAAAAAUAGUAUGAGAUACUACUUUUAUUGGGUUUAGAGAAGUGAAAUAUAGAUUGGAAAUGACCUGUGCUGAAAUCGGAGUGAAAACAGAAAACUUAGAAUUUUCUGUUGGAAUCGGGGCAGAUAAAUUAGCAGAAAAUGCACAGUGUCAGAAAAUAAUGAAAAUUGGAGGAUAUGUCAGAAAUAUUUUUAUGAGGCUAGAUUUAAAGUUUCAUAUUUUUCUGACACCCGGAAGGUGAAAAAUAAAAUUUAACAAGUUAUCUGCUAAGGAUUACAGUUCGGUCAGUUUUCAGUGACCAAACGGGGUCGAAACUGAAAUAUUAAAAUUUCUUUGGACUUAUUAAGUAAAAUCGAGUAUGCCUGUCAAAUUUGAACGAAAACGGACAUCCAGAAGGGCUCCGGCGAAAAAUAAACUGCCCGAAGUAAAUAGUGCAUAGUUGAGAGGAAAAAUGGUAAAAAGGGACUUAAACCCUUUUGUCCUCCUUCCUCCCCAACCGUGGCUGCCCCAAACCGAGCCACACACACACAAACGCACACGCACACAUGGUGAUAGAGUGAGAAAUACCUCUCUCUCUCUCUCUAGAUUUCUCCAUCUCUCUAGAUCCAUCUCUCAAAUUCGGGAUUUUGGAGGAGAAGGACCUUGCGAACGCGUAGGAGGCGACGGUUUGAGCUCUCGUGCGGCAGUUUGAGCGGUGUGCUUCCUCCUCAGCGUUCACAAUUUGGUAAGCUUCUAGGAUUUGGUUUAAUCCUUGAUGUUUAGCGUUCUAAUGGUCUCUAAAGUGAUUCUAGCAUGUCGCUCUAUUUAAUUUUAAAUUAUUUGGGGUUGUUUUCAUGCUAGGGUUAGAAAUGCUAAUUUUUAAAAUAUGAGGGUUUGAUCUCAUUUGACCCUCUGUAAACCUAAUUGCUAGGUAAACGAACGCGUUGGCGAAGACGGUUCGGCGAUUCGUCGAGCUGUNUACAAUUAAACGCUCCCAAUGUAAGUUAUUAAAUACUUUUAAUUUUGAAUUUCGUAAUCUACUAUUCAUUACUUAUGCUUUAGACAAUUAACUAUAAUGGAUAACUUUACAGUCUGAUUAUCUAAAUGGGGAGAGUCUCAUCAUUCCAAUUUCCGAAGUUGUGGAUCCUUAGCUUACUAUCUUUUUUGUAAGGUGAAUAAUUUUAUGAAUGCACAUAUUACAUAUAUUUUAUUAUUUUUUAAAUUAUUUUUUAUAUAAACUAACUUUUAUUAUGUUUUUUUGGUACAGGAUGGAGUGAUUUUGAGUUGAAGACUUAAUGUUGUUUUCUAUGCUUUGUUAUGCCACCAUGAUGGCUCUUAAGAGAUAUAUGCACUUGGAUUAAUGUUGAAUUUUUAUUUUUUUAUGUUGGUGUAUUUAACUAUUUGAUGUUGUUACUUUUAUGAUACUAUAUUUAGCUAAAUAUGCUUAGCUAACUUCACUUAUCUAAAUAUGCUUAGCUAACUUUUCAAUAUUGAAAAUUUCUUGUUUGAUAUGAUUUUGUUACAUUACAGUAAAAUUGAAUGCCAUUAGUUGUUUGGUUGAGAAAAUAUGCAGGAUUAAGGUAAAAGAAUUAUUCUUUAUAUAAAAUUUUGAUUUUAGUUUUAUAUGAUUGGAUAGUUUAAUUCACUAUUUGCUUAUAUAAUUUAUUCAUCUUUUAACUGCAUAGAUGAAAAAGAGCAAUAUGGAGAUUGGAGGCGAAAGAGAAGAUAUGCAAGGCUGCAAGAAAAAUACAAAAGGAAAUUGACAUUCAUUACAAGGUUAGAUAUCCAACUCAAAUUAUUUUUUUUAAUAUUACAAUAUUGUAUUUCUUGCAAUUAUUUUGUAUUUUGAACUAUUGGACAUGUUGCUUCAAAUUGUAGGUAAUGUUCUAUCAAAAUUAAACUAUUGAUUAUAUAAUGUCGAGAAUUUCAAUCGGCUCGUUUAGAGCUCGAGCUCGCUUGACUCGAAAUUAGGCUCGCUCGAGCUCCGCUCGAAUUAAUUUCAAGCUGAGCUUGAGCCUAGAUUUAGGCUCGAAAUUAAUUUCAAGCCGAAUUUGAGAUGAUGUAAGCUCGCUCGAGCUCAGCUCGUUUCCACCCCUAGUCCGACAUGAUCUAAGGAUUUGGGAAAGAUGAAAGCCUUGCGGGUCAGAUUGGCAGAUCUCCGGAGCGGAGGCUAAAGGCGAACCCACUAUCCGCAGGAUGAUGGAUAGUGCGGAGAAGACGGACCCGCGACCCGUUCGUCCGCUUACCCGCUUAUCAUGCAGUUUCGGACCGAGCAAGCCAGCGGAGGCCCAAUCUGCGAGCGAAUUUCAGCCCAGCCAGCCGAAUUCCCAUUCUUGCCAAUUUGCAGUCUAGCCCUCAUAGGAUAGUUUUCUUUAAUUUCAGUAUUAAGUAGUAGCAAGUAUAUAUACAAGAAUGUAAUUGCAACAGGAUAUAAAAGAAAUUAAAGUUGGGCUAAAAAUUUAAAAUUAAUAAUCUGUAUUAUAUAUUUAUAAUACAAAUAUAAUUAUAUAUAUAAUAUAUAAAAUUAUAUUAAUAUAAAAUAAAUAUAAUCAAGCUAUUAUCGAGCCGAACACGAGUGAGAUGACCCUAGCUCGUGUNUAAAACCACAUGGUACUAAAGUGAUAAAGUGCAAAACCACAGGGUACUAACUUGAUACAUUUUAAACCACAGGAUACUAAAGUUAUAAAGUGAGAAACCACAGGAUACUAACUUGAUACAUUUUAAACCACAUGGUACUAAAGUGAAAAAAAUUGAAACCACAAGAGGGUUCUAGAAGUUUUUCCUAAAAAGAAUAUAUUUGAACAUACUUAUAUUACUUCGACAGAGUAUUCAGAUUCGGUUAGAGUACGAAACUUCUAAUCAAACAAAUGUGAUAAUUUUGGUUUCGAAUACAUGUCGGAUCGAAUCUGAUUGGGCCAUUUCAAUCCUAAUCGAACAGAUAGCUGUAUGAACCAUAGUUGGUUAAUUCACGAAUAAUUUACGAAUUAUUCAUGAAUUUUUGAACAAGCGAGUAAAAUAGCUUUAUCUGUAUUUUUUUCAAAAAAUUUGAGAAAAAAAAGUGAUUUUUUGGAUAAAAAUAAUUAUUCACUAAUUAUUCGCAAUUCGCCCCAAAAAAAAACGCGUGGCCGAGUCGCAAAAGGUUUUUGCCCUAGCUUCUCACCCCUGCGGCCCUGCCACCGACCCCAGCCCCCAUCCCUUCCCCUCUCCCUCCCCCUCUUCCCUUCCGGCCGCUCACCGAACGCCAUCAGAAGCUGCUGCGGGGCCACAUCAAAGAUCGGCUUCUUCACUCUUCAGAAAUUAGAAUCCUCCUCGUCGCCUCUUCCUCUUUCGCUUCCGCGGCCGCGUCGGGUGGUUCUUUAACAAGAAUUUUUAUGCUUUAGUUUCUCUCUCUUUCAUUUAUUUCAUUUCAUCAUCUCUUAAUCGCUGACUGGGGCAAAAAUUUUCUGGGCAUCGUGCCCAUAGAAAGUAAUUUGGGGGCCUCCGAAUGUCCGCCGCGUGGCACUCAGAUGUCCCGGAUGGCCGCCGCGUGGCACUCGAACGACGCGAGCCCCACCGCCCCGCUGCUCGCCCAUUUAGGGAGAGUAGUGGAGUUUUUUUGAUGCACUCGGUGCACGUUUUUGCUUUAAAAAUUUAUUUUUUUUUAAUUAAUAAUUUAUAUAAUUGUGUUUUACUGAUAUUUAAAAAUAUUACGUAGAAAAAUUUUUAUAACCCGCGCCCUCUAAAUUUUUUUACAAAUAUUUUUUAAAUAUAUCGUUAUAUAGUAUAUUUAUUAGUAUAUAUAGUAUAUAUAUAUAGUUAGUUUAUAUAUAUAUAUAUAUAUAGAUUGGCUACUCAUACUAUCUCUACAUACCGAGCUCGGUACUUAGUGUUGGUUUUCAUCUAUUAGGGCGUUCAAUCAAAACGAUCCACCUUAAAUAUGAUCUAGGGCAUAUAUGCAAUUCUUAGAAUAAAAUUUUAGUUUUUUCGAUUCGUUUACUUAGUAAAUAAAUUUUUAAAAUGGAGCGUUGAUCAAAUGAAAUAUAAUCUUUUAAAAUUUUUGAGAUAGGACUUUUAAAUUCAUGGAUGCAAGAAUGUUAACCUUAAUUUAUAUAGUUUAAAGUAUUUUCUAUCAAAUUGAGAAAUUUAGAUUCUUCUAUCACCGUUAAUACUCCAAACUCAUCAUAAUGAGCCAUUGAAAAUUAUGAUAAUUUUGAAUAGUUUGAUGUAAAAUUAAACAUAUGUCGAAAAAAUAUAAAAUUUUAUUUUAGAACUUUAAAUACAAGAUCAGUUUUAACGGGUGGUAGUUAUCGUUUAUUUGAACGCCCUAAAUCAAAACCCAACACAUAUAGUACGGACUCGUACUAUAGAUAGAUAGUAGCUCAGCUCGUAGUACUAUAUAUAUAUAUAUAUAUAUAUAUAUAUAUAUAUAUAUAUAUAAUAUUAAUGUCACGCCCCAGGGCCGAUUUUAAAAGCUUUUUUUUAAAAAAUUCAUUAUCAUUUCGAAAACAGAGUUGCGGAAGACAUGCCAAUUUUUUUUUUUUUUCUAAUCUGGCCCACGAGACGCACAGACCCGCCACAAAUACAAAGUUUCCCUGUCCACUCGGACAGAGUCCCUUUAUAUUUGCACGGCGUACCAACGAUACAACAGGAUCUCAACCACAACCUACAUUAACCAAUCAACAACCAAUUCAUGAUAUGCAUUUUCAUACAGCUAACGAUCGUUAGAGAUGAUGCAUGCCUCUAAGCACUCUUCAGGCGCUGGAUGAUGCAAUGCACAGUACAAUAAUCAUCCUAUUUAAAAGUGCUCCUCACCCGAAAGCUUUGGUUUUGAAAUCUAUUUCAGUCAUCCAUGAAAACCAUUCGAAAAUCUUUUUAAAACUGUUUCCCACUCGGAAAUUCUAUUUUGAAAACCGACUACCUCGAGGGGUAGAAAACCACAAUGCAUAAGGACAUAAAUGCAUGAAUUGAAUAUCUAUAAAACCAGAUCCACAAAUCCACAAUCUAAAAUCACAUGCAUUGUCACGCCCCGCCCCAAAACCACUGCCAAUUUGGCACGAUUCGGACGCGCCGGGCGGACCGCCGAACAGACAGUACCUCCCCUGUCCGCCCAAGGCUCAACAACAGGAAUGUGUACAAGAAUUUACCCAGGAAGUUUAAAUUCUACACAUACACAUUCAACGGGGUACAAGUAGUGCCAACAACUAAGAGCAAGUAAUCCACAAGUAAAAACAAGUGAAAUAAAGAGAGUACUUUACUAAUUAUUGCAAUAGUUUUGCAUCUUUUUACAUGUACAUUUUUUUUUCCUCAAAAUGAAUACAUAUGUUCAUUCAAAAUAUAUAGCUCUCCAAAUCCUCACCUACAUGAAUCUCUCUCAAUACAUAGGUGUGCUAAUGCAAAAAGGAAAGCUACUAUACUACCACGGCCUCACUGAUCGAGCGCGAUGCCUUUGCCGCGAUCCUCGCUCGGUAAACCUGUACCUAUCACUGGAAAUAGAGUGGGGUGAGAACUAUCUUUCAUAGUUCCCAGUGGGCUCAGCCGCCGACUCUACCGAUCUCCCCACUAGGUCCAAGUGGGCACAAGCAACAACAGGUAGAUAGAUAGAUAGAUAUCUCAAAGAGGUGAAGGCAUAAAAAAAAUUCUAUGCUACUAUGCCCAUGAUCAUGUAUAAUGAAUGCAUGCAUCAUAUAGUAAAGGUUUACUAUCAUGCUAACGAAUUCAAUCCAUGUUCGAAUAAUAAUGUUCAAUGACAUUGUUCACUGUUCUUUUACCCAAUCUGUAGCGAAGCCCUUGGAUUCGCCAAUAACUCACCUUUCAAUCCCAAAGUGGGGAGGGAGCUCCAAGUGCACCCAAGCCCGGGACCCUCUGCGGACCUCCAUGUGGUCCGGACCUCUAAGUGGUCCUAAUCGCCCGACACUCAGAAGUACUCGACGACAAUCCCCUCCAUAUGGGGAUCUGGAUGGCUAUACCACCCCAAAAGCAGACUGUGAGCUAGAUCUAUCCUCUCCAAGUGAGGAUACCCUACAACAAGGGUCAACAAUCCAAUCAAAUCCUCUCCAAGUGAGGAUGCUCUACAACUAGGGUCAAUGUCUCAAUAACUCAUCGACAACCUCUCCAUGUGGGGGUACUUAGAUUUACUAAGUUCUUUGUCCACAAGGCAUUUUCUAAGGGAUCCACCUAUCCCUAGGUUCUCAAACCUUUAGUGUCAUUUACACUACAUUAAUGCCACUCAUCAUUCUUUAACAUUUGGGUGCCACUCGUUUGUUCUUUGACAUUAAACACUACUUUCUAUGUCAUCAACACCCCCAUCGGGUUCAUCUCUUUUCUUUCGCAUCAUAGGAUCCACAUUCCGACCCAAUUCUCACCUAUCUAAGUUACCAAGUGUUCCAAGUACACUAGGUUAUCAAUUAGAAAGCAUAAGGAAUGGUACUACUAUGCAAUCCUACAAUGCAACAUGUAAGAAAUGAGAUUAAAUGCAAUCUAAGACAUAGAAAAGAGUUCGAAAGUUUCGGAUGGCACCCCCCACCUUGUGUAGUCGAUGUUCGUUGUGGAGGUUCCAGAAGUGUUCCUCGGCACUUCAAACCACGUGUUCCCCGCCUUUUUGGGAGAAACGAAGCUAGGUCGGCCCUACUUUGCCGAUAGCUCUACACCCGCUCGACGAAUCGUAAUUCCGACUCCGCCAACGCGUUUGGACACCUAGCAAUUAUGUUUACAAGGCCUCAAAUGAGAUCAAUCUCAUCUAUUUCCAAAAAUCCCAUUUUGGGUGCCCUAGGGUUAGCAUCAUGCCAUUUGCACCAUGAAAUCCUAGCCUCUAGCUCUAAUCCACCAAUAAUGGUGCUAGAAGUCUAUUUGACCUCAUCUCAAAGCUCAAAACCCAAAAACCCUAGUUCUACAAGCUAGGGUUUGUAGCUUACCUCUUGAGCUACACCAAUGGAGAGGAGAGGAAGAGAGGAAGAUGCUCCAAGCCUUCUCUAGCUUGAUCCCCUCCUUCUUCUUCUUCUUCUCCUCCUUCUUCUUCUUCUCUUCCUUCUUCUCCUUCUCUUUUGUUCUUUAUUUCCUAGAGAGAGAGAGGGAGCAAGGAAGAGUGUGAGAGAGAGAGAGAAUGACAGGCUGAGGGAGAGAGAGAGUGUAACGCCCCGACUUCCCAGGGGGUCACCCAUCCUGGGACUACUCCCGUCCUAGCACACUUAACUCUCUUAACCUCUUGGGUCUAGCCACCACCCAAAAUGCUUAAGCCGGGUUAAGAGUUUAGCCCUAUUAUAUCUUAUAUAUAGGACUAUCUGGGGUCUCACAAUCUCCCAUUCUUUAAGCCCUGACGUCCUUGUCAGGCUCAGACUCACAAGUAUCAGGCGAUGUGAGACUUGUCUCGCUAGCCCGUCAUCCAGACCCUGGCUCAGCCAAGACUGAUCUCACACUUCCGGCUGGUAAUUGGCUCUGAUACCAUCUGUAACGCCCCAACUUCCCAGGGGGUCACCCAUCCUAGGACUACUGCCGUCCUAACACGCUUAACUCUCUUAACCUCUUGGGUCUAGCCACCACCCAAAAUGCUUAAGCCGGGUUAAGAGUUUAGCCCUAUUAUAUCUUAUAUAUAGGACUAUCUGGGGUCUCACAGAGAGGGCCUACAUACCCCUCUAUUGUAACAAAAUCCAUUUUAGCCCCUCAACUUUUCACCCUGCACACAGCCCUCACUGGGCAUUCUGCGCCCAGAGGGACCAGUCCCUUGUCGGGGAGACCGGUCCCCGAGAGCAGUCCUGGAGGCCAGAAGACCUCUUUGCGUUCGGGAACCGGUCUCUCCCUGGGAGACCGGUCCUCGGGAGACCCGUCCUCGCCUAAGAGAUCGGUCCCCGAGAGCUCAAUUUUCAGCACUUAGCCGAUUUUGGCCUUCUCUCGCUGGCGUCGCACACGGGGACCGGUCCCCUCAGCCAGGGACUGGUUGCGUCAAAGAUCCCCAGCAACCACCAGCCUCGGGGACCGGUCUCUCCCUGCCAGGGACUGGUCCCCGAGAGCAACUUCAGCCCAGUGCAGGUUUUGCACUAUAUGCUCUCGCGGACUCAACUCCAAUGCACUUUUUGUGUUUUGGAUAACUUUAGCUUUCCCGAAGGAUACUCACUCGAUAAUUAGUCGAUCCUGGAUGAAGUACAACUCUCGAAUUUCGAGAAUUCACUUCCUUACAUCCUCCCCUCCUUAAAAAGAGUUUCGUCCUCGAAACUAACUCGAUUCUUUAUUUUAACUUAAAUUUUUAUCUCACUCCUCGAACAGAUGAGGGUGGUGCUUUCUCAUUAGAUCCUCGAGUUCCCAGGUGGCCUCGCAAUCAUCAUGAUUGCUCCACCAAACCUUCACGUAGGGAAUUUCUCGAUUUCUCAACUUCCGUACCUCUCGUGCGAUAAUCAUCACCGGAAACUCUUCAUAGCUCAAGUCCUCUUGAAGCUCCGGUGGCUCAUAUAGUAUUCCGUGCUCGGGGUCAUGAAUAUACUUGCGGAGAUUGAAGACAUGGAACACAUUGUGUACAUCCGCAAGUUUCGGCGGCAAGGUGAGUCGGUAAGCCACCGUGCCAACUCGCUCCAAUAUUUCAUAGGGUCCAAUGUAUCGGGGACUCAAUUUUCCCCGCACUCCAAACCGCUUUACACCCCGCAUCGGUGAAACUUUCAAGAAUACGCGGUCGCCCACCGCGAACUCUAUAUCUCGUCGGCGCCUAUCUGCAUAGCUUUGCUUUCUUGACUGCGCCGUGAGCAAUCUCUUGCGAGCAAGGCGGACUUUCUCCUCCGCUUCUCGCAGAAUAUCAGGGCCGAACUCUGCACGCUCACCCACAUCGCUCCAGUGUAUAGGAGAUCGACACGUCCGCCCAUAGAGAGCCUCGAACGGUGCCAUCUCCACACUAGCAUGAUAACUGUUGUUAUAGGCGAACUGGGCCAUAGGUAGGUGAUCACACCAACUUCUCUUAUAGUCGAUGGCACACGCUCGCAACAAGUCCUCCAGAGUUUGAAUGGUUCUCUCUGUUUGCCCAUCGGUCUGAGGAUGAAAUGCGGUGUUAAAGUCGAGCCAUGUGCCAAGGGCUUCCUGCAGGCUCUUCCAGAAGUGUGAAGUGAACCGGGGGUCACGAUUCGACACGAUCGAUUUUGGCACCCCAUGCAGUCUCACUAUCUCGUCGAGGUAUACCUGUGCUAACUUGUCACCCGACCACAUGGUGUGGAUCGGCAAGAAGUGAGUCGACUUCGUUAAUCGGUCCACAAUUACCCAAAUUGCAUCGUGGUCGCCCGUUGAGCGAGGCAAGCUGACCACGAAGUCCAUCGAUAUAUCCUCCCAUUUCCAAACGGGGAUUGGUAGGCUUUGAAGCUUUCCCGCUGGAAAUCGACGCUCUGCUUUCACUUGUUGGCAUGUUAAGCACUUCGCCACAAAGCGUCCAAUAUCACUUUUCAUUUCCGGCCACCAGUAGUGCAUUUUUAGUCCUCGAUAUAUCUUGGUGCCGCCCGGGUGAUCGGCAUAUGGAGACCGAUGAGCUUCUUGUAGAAUUAGCUCGCGAAGCUCUCCAUCUUUCGGCACACACCAUCGGUUUCGAAGCCGGAGUGUACUACCGGUGUCUAAAUUGAAAUCGCCGCCUCGACCUUUCUCGAUAUUUCGCCGCACCUUUUGGAGUUCUAGGUCUGCGGGUUGCAGAUCUUUGAUCCUCUCCAACAAGGUCAGUUGAAUAACGAGCGCCAUCAACUGGGCCGGAACCUCGGGAGCGACCACCUCAAGGUUCAUCCGCUCCAUGUCUAACCACAAGGGUGAUUGAUUUGUAACCCACAUCGAGAGGUUCUCCGCCGACUUUCUGCUCAAUGCAUCAGCGACCACAUUGGCUUUCCCGGGGUGGUAGAGGAUAUCGACGUCAUAGUCCUUUAACAAUUCUAACUACUGCCGCUGUCGCAUAUUUAGCUCCUUCUGUGUGAAUAGAUAUUUCAAACUCUUGUGGUCUGUGUAAAUCUCACAAUGGGCACCAUACAAAUAGUACCGCCACAGCUUCAAGGCGAAGAUUACCGCUGCUAGCUCCAAAUCGUAGAUGGGGUAGUUCUUCUCAUAGCUCUUCAGUUGACAGAACGCAUAAGCAAUCACCUUCCCAUUUUGCAUCAAAACACACCCCAGUCCUAGAUAGGAGGCGUCGUUGUAGACUACGAAGUCUUCGCCUUGUACCGGUAGAGCGAGCACCGGAGUCGAAGUUAAUUUUUGCUUCAACUCUUUAAAACUUCGGUCGCACUCCUCACUCCAAACAAACUUGGUGCUUUUCUGAGUCAGGCGGGUAAGUGGAAUCACUAUCUUGGAAAAGCCUUCCACAAACCGCCUAUAAUAGCCUGCCAAGCCCACAAAGCUUCGAACCUCCGUGACAUUCGUCGGGCGCGGCCAAUCCUUGAUUGUCUCAACUUUCCUUGGGUCUAUAGAAACUCCACCCCGAAAAUCACAUGCCCUAAGAAGGCGACCUCUUGGAGCCAGAAGUCACACUUCUUUAACUUAGCAUACAGCUUCUCCUCCCGAAGGGAAGCACUAUCCUCAAAUGCUCGGCAUGUUCCUCGUCACUACGAGAAUAGACCAGUAUGUCGUCUAUGAAGACCAUGACAAAUCGAUCUAAAAACUUCCUGAAGACAUGGUUCAUCAAGUCCAUAAAUGCCGCUGGAGUGUUCGUGAGUCCAAAUGGCAUGACCGUGAAUUCAUAGUGCCUAUACCGCGUACGAAACGCAGUUUUCUGCACAUCCUCCGGCUUGAUCUUCAACUGGUGAUAGCCGGACUGCAAAUCUAUCUUCGAGUACACACACGACCCCUGCAACUGAUCGAUCAGGUCAUCGAUUCGGGUAGUGGGUAAUUGUUCUUGAUCGUGACUCUGUUCAAUUCUCGAUAGUCUACGCAGAGUCGGAAUGAUCCGUCCUUCUUCCGUACAAACAACACUGGGGCUCCCCACGGUGAUACACUUGGCCGGAUAAACUGUUUGUCGAGAAGGUCUUGCAAUUGACUCCUCAACUCCUUCAGUUCCGCUGGCGGCAUUCGGUACGGAGCCUUCGAGAUCGGUGCAGUGCCGGGAACCAAGUCUAUGACGAACUCGAUCUCCCGACGGUGAUAUCCCCGGUAAUUCUGCGGGAAAUACAUCCGGAAACUCUCGCACCACCGAUAAGUCCUCUAAUGUUGGAGCUACUCGUUCCACUUCCACAACAGUCGCUAAGAAUACCGUGCAACCGCUGUUAACCAACUUCCUUACUCUCGUGGCCGACACCGUCGUGACGAAGCACGAGCUCUGACAAGCCCGAUAUGUGAACUCCUUUUGUUCUGGCUCACGAAAUGUAAUUACUCUGCUUUUGCAGUCGAUCGUUGCAUGAUAUUUCGAGAGCCAGUCCAUUCCCAAAAUGAUGUCAUAAGCCUUGAGCUUCUUGAGUUCCAAUGUCCGGAUAGGCAUAAUCCGGUCGCCUAUUUGUACCGGGCACGAGGCGCACUCCGAAUAGGUAUUAAACGUCGACCCAGGGCCCUUCACUCGCCACUUGUCACUCGCUUCUAUAUGUAUGUCAUGCAUGCGUGCAAAUGAUCUACUUAUAAAUGAAUGUGUGGCUCCUGUAUCAAAUAAAGCCCUGGAGCGAACUCCGUUAAUUAAAACCAUACCUGCCAUAAGGCGACGCUCCUCCGCCUUCGCAGGCUCCUCGGCUUGAGCCUGAGCGGCGAAUACCCGACCGCUCGGAGCUGAUCGCGUCACUUCGGGUUGAAGCGGCAUCACCGCGUGUCCCGUCGACGCGGCCGCCGGUGGAGCUCCUCUAUAGUGAGCCGGAAUCGCUAGCGCCGAUGCAAUCGAUGGGGCAGGUGAGGCUCCUCCUCCCGAGCAGUCCCGAAUGAAGUGCCCCGGUUGCCCACACUUGUAGCACUUGCCUCGCCCUUGCUCACAUAGCGAGACUGGGUGGUCUCCGCCGCAUACGAUGCACCGUCGCGCUCCACCGCCCUUUGGCUGAGUCCGUGGAUACUUCGAGGGCUUCUUGGAACAUGUUUACCCCCCCGAACUGCCGCCGCCUUGGCGUUUCUUGCCCUUGUCCUUGGACUCGGCCAACAUCUCACGCUUUUCCCGGACAUGGGCGUCUCCGUGCUACGCCCAAAGUGCUCGGUCGAAGACCUCCGCAAAGGUCGUGAGUUGAGUAUCUGCACGGCCUUAUAAAUCCCCGGCCGAAGUCCUCGUAAGAACCAAUCGGCCCGGUCCCGGUCAUCCUUCACUAUGUCUGGAACACAAUCAAUGAUGUGGGAGAACUCUUAUUCAUAUUCCGCCACUGAACGGUCCCCUUGCUCCAACUUGCGAAACUUCUCCUUGAGUUUCCGCUUCAGCGCAUUGGGGAAGUAGUUGGCGAACAUUUCCCGCUUGAAUUCCUCCCACAGCAUUGGCGGGAGAUCGGAAGACCGAUCUCGCUUCACGCGCUUCCACCAUACCUUUGCUGCUUUCUCCAGACAGUGGCUGGCAAGGUACACUUUGUCCCUCUCCAAGGUACGUAGGUCCUCAAAGAGAGUCUCCAUCGAGCCGAUCCAAGACUCGAUCAUCGCCGGCUCCACCUUCUCGCCCUCAAAGGUAGGAGGAUGGAACUUGUUGAACUUAAUAAGAGCCGCCAAUGCAAGCUCUCCUUCCACAUCUUCGGCCGUCACAUCGGGUGUAGCCGAUCCCGACGCUGCCUGUGGUACGAUCACUGGUGGUGGGCGUGCCAUCACCGGAAUCGCCGCGAUGCCCUCACCCUCUGCCGCUCCGGGUACAUGAGUCGAGGGUGCGGGCGGGUGCGGGCGGACCAACGCCCUCGUUCACCGUCGCAGCCCCCGCCGCAACCUGCCGCUCCAAAAGAUCCUGGAGCCGAUCGAAUUGGGUCUCCUGGCGCUGCACCACAUUAGUCAACGCGGUCACUUGCGCCCGCAACUAAUCCAUCUCGCUCGGUUCAGCCUGCUCGGGCACCUCGGGAAGCGGUGCCGGAGUAGACCUCGUGCUCGGGCGUCCUCUUGGUGCCAUUGGCUCCUGAAACGCAAGUACUUGGUUAAUUAUCUUAACCCGUUCGCCUCGUUGCAAUUACGACACACAACGACUCAACAACGAAAUCGGGCGGAAGCACACAAGUGUACUCGUUCUAGACUCUUGGUAUCAUGUCGUCGGCCGCCGACACAACCACCUCAAGACAAGAACUCAUACCACUUGAAUCCGUCUCUAAUCACAACAAGAGACAUAUUACCAACUUCGACCCAAUCGAAUCAACUUCCGCCAUCGCUAUAGGUUCACGUUCCGCUCACGCACUUAUAACCUUAGGGCUUACCAACCUAGGGUCUCCUAGGUCAUCCUAGACUUUCUCUCUUUACUUGCUCUUAUUGCUCUGAUACCAUAACACUGUCACGCCCCGCCCCGAAACCACUACCAAUUUGGCACGAUUGGGGCGCGCCGGGCGGACCGCCGAACGGACAGCACCUCCCCUGUCCGCCCAAGGCUCAACAACAGAAAUGUGUACAAGAAUUUACCCAGGAAGUUUAAAUUCUAUACAUACACAUUCAACGGGGCACAAGUAGUACCAACAACUAAGAGCAAGUAAUCCACAGGUAAAAACAAGUGAAAUAAAGAGAGUACUUUACUAACUAUUGUAAUAGUUUUGCGUCUUUUUACAUGUACAUUUUAUUUUCCUCAAAAUGAAUACAUAUGUUCAUUCAAAAUACAUAGCUCUCCAAAUCCUCACCUACAUAAAUCUCUCUCAAUACAUAGGUGUGCUAAUGCAAAAAGGAAAGCUACUAUACUACCACGGUCUCAAUGAUUGGGCGCGAUGCCCUUGUCGCGGUCCUCGCUCGGUAAACCUAUACCUACCACAGGAAAUAGAGUUGGGUGAGAACUAUCUUCCAUAAUUCCCAGUGGGCUCGGCCGCCAACUCUACCGAUCUCCCCGCUAGGUCCAAGUGGGCAUAAGCAACAAUAGGUAGAUAGAUAGAUAGAUAGAUAUCUCAAAGAAGUAAAGGCAUAAAGGAAAUCUAUGCUACUAUGCCUAUGAUCAUAUAUAAUGAAUGCAUGCAUCAUAUAGUAAAGGUUUACUAUCAUGCUAACGAAUUCGAUCCAUGUUCGAAUAAUAAUGUUCAAUGACAUCGUUCACUGUUCUUUUAUCCAAUCUGUAGCGAAGCCCUUGGGUUCGCCAAUAACUCACCUUUCAAUCCCAAAGUGGGGAGGGAGCUCCAAGUGCACCCAAGCCCGGGACCCUCUGCGGACCUCCAUGUGGUCCGAACCUCCAAGUGGUCCUAAUCGCCCGACACUCCAGAGUACUCGACGACAAUCCCCUCCACGUGGGGAUAUGGAUGGCUAUACCACCCCAAAAGCAGACUGUGAGCUAGAUCUAUCCUCUCCAAGUGAGGAUGCUCUACAACUAGGGUCAACAACCUAAUCAAAUCCUCUCCAAGUGAGGNAAUAGUUUUGCAUCUUUUUACAUGUACAUUUUUUUUUCCUCAAAAUGAAUACAUAUGUUCAUUCAAAAUAUAUAGCUCUCCAAAUCCUCACCUACAUGAAUCUCUCUCAAUACAUAGGUGUGCUAAUGCAAAAAGGAAAGCUACUAUAUUACCACGGUCUUACUGAUUGGGCGCGAUGCCCUUGUCGCGGUCCUCGCUCGGUAAACCUAUACCUACCACUGGAAAUAGAGUUGGAUGAGAACUAUCUUCCAUAGUUCCCAGUGGGCUCGGCCGCCAACUCUACCGAUCUCCCCACUAGGUCCAAGUGGGCACAAGCAACAACAGGUAGAUAGAUAGAUAGAUAUCUCAAAGAAGUAAAGGCAUAAAGGAAAUUUAUACUACUAUGCCCAUGAUCAUAUAUAAUGAAUGCAUGCAUCAUAUAGUAAAGGCUUACUAUCAUGCUAACGAAUUCGAUCCAUGUUCGAAUAAUAAUGUUCAAUGACAUCGUUCACUGUUCUUUUACCCAAUCUGUAGCGAAGCCCUUGGGUUCGCCAAUAACUCACCUUUCAAUCCAAAGUGGGGAGGGAGCUCCAAGUGCACCCAAGCUCGGGACCCUCUGCGGACCUCCAUGUGGUUCGAACCUCCAAGUGGUCCUAAUCGCCCGACACUCCAGAGUACUCGACGACAAUCCCCUCCAUGUGGGGGAUAUGGAUGGCUAUACCACCCCAAAAGCAGACUGUGAGUUAGAUCUAUCCUCUCCAAGUGAGGAUACCCUACAACUAUGGUCAACAACCCAAUCAAAUCCUCUCCAAGUGAGGAUGCUCUACAACUAGGGUUAAUGUCUCAAUAACUCAUCGACAACUUCUCCAUGUGCGGGUACUUAGAUUUACUAAGUUCUUUGUCCACAAGGCAUUUUCUAAGGGAUCCACCUAUUCCUAGGUUCUCAAACCUUUAGUGUCAUUUAUACUACAUUAAUGCCACUCGUCAUUCUUUAACAUUUGGGUGCCACUCGUUUGUUCUUUGACAUUAAACACUACUUUCUAUGUCAUCAACACCCCCAUCGGGUUCAUCUUUUUUCUUUCGCAUCAUAGGAUCCACAUUCCGACCCAAUUCUCACCUAUCUAAGUUACCAAGCGUUCCAAGUAUACUAGGUUAUCAAUUAGAAAGCAUAAGGAAUGGUACUACUAUGCAAUCCUACAAUGCAACAUGUAAGAGAUGAGAUUAAAUGCAAUCUAAGACAUAGAAAGGAGUUCGAAAGUUUCGGAUGGCACCCCCCACCUUGUGUAGUCGAUGUUCGUUGUGGAGGUUCCAGAAGUGUUCCUCGGCACUUCAAACCACGUGUUCCCCGCCUUUUUGGGAGAAUCGAAGCUAGGUCGGCCCUACUUUGCCGAUAGCUCUACACCCGCUCGACGAAUCGUAAUUCCGACUCCGCCAACGCGUUUGGACACCUAGUAAUUAGGAUUACAAGGCCUCAAAUGAGAUCAAUCUCAUCUAUUUCCAAAAAUCCCAUUUUGGGUGCCCUAGGGUUAGCAUCAUGCCAUUUGCACCAUGAAACCCUGGCCUCUAGCUCUAAUCCACCAACAAUGGUGCUAGAAGUCCAUUUGACCUCAUCUCAAAGCUCAAAACCCAAAAACCCUAAGUUCUACAAGCUAGGGUUUAUAACUUACCUCUUGAGCUACACCAAUGGAGAGGAGAGGAAGAGAAGAAGAUGCUCCAAGCCUUCUCUAGCUUGAUCCCCUCCUUCUUCUUCUUCUUCUCCUCCUCCUUCUUCUUCUUCUCUUCCUUCUUCUCCUUCUCUUUUGUUCUUUAUUUCCUAGAGAGAGAGAGGGAGCAAGGGAGAGUGUGAGAGAGAGAGAGAAUGAGAGGCUGAGGGAGAGAGAGAGGGCCUACAUACCCCUUUAUUGUAACAAAAUUCAUUUUAGCCCCUCAACUUUUCACCCUGCACACAGCUCUCACUGGGCAUUCUGCGCCCAGAGGGACUGGUCCCUCGUAGGGGAGACCGGUCCCCGAGAGCAGUCCUGGCGGCCAGAAGGCCUCUUCGUGUUCAGGAACUGGUCUCUCCCUGAGAGACCGGUCCUCGGGAGACCGUUCCUCGCCUGAGAGACCGGUCCCCGAGAGCUCAAUUUUCAGCACUUAGCCGAUUUUGGCCUUCUCUCGCUGGCGUCGCAUACUGGGACCGGUCCCCUCAGCCAGGGACUGGUUGCGUCAAAGAUCCCCAGCAACCACCAGCCUCGGGGACCGGUCUCUCCCUGCCAGGGACUGGUCCCCGAGAGCAACUUCAGCCCAGUGCAGGUUUUGCACUAUAUGCUCUCGCGGACUCAACUCCAAUGCACUUUUUGUGUUUUGGAUAACUUUAGCUUUUCCGAAGGAUACUUACUCGACAAUUAGUCGAUUCUGGGUGAAGUACAACUCUCGGAUUUCGAGAAUUCACUUCCUUACAUGCAUAAGGAAUACAUCACAGAUCCACUGAAGCCAAAUCACCAAUAUUCAAACAAACAUGAGGAUCGUCUAACUGAACCAUUAUUAUUAAAACUACUAAGUGCCGAAAUGAAAGUAACCAAGGUGACGGUUGCUAUACCAGACUAGCUAGAUCGUCCUCCCGUCGAGCCCAAAAUCUAACUCCUCGUCCAUGUCACCUGGGGGGAAUGGGGGGUGAGAAACCGCAACCAUGGUUUCUCAGUGGGUACGACAGAGCCACGAAGGCAAGCCGUAAUCACCGAAAACCAAAGGAGAUAGAUAAACAAAUAUAUAUGCUGAUAUGAAACAGAACUACAGAUAUGAGCAUGAUGUGAUAUAAGAGCAACUACAGUAGUAAUAGAAACAGGUUAAUAACUAAGCAAGAACGAAACUACUACUGUAACCAAUACUCAACUGAUCGGAUGCCUCAAGGGUAAAUAGUCCAAACCAAACCCAAUCUGAUGCUGCUAUAUUGGUCCGCAGACCUCAAGCGUUACCUGUCACAGAACAGACACUGCCAACUUAUUCAUGCGUCACCGACGACCUAUCCGGAUACGUACACUCCUUGGUUGGUGGCCAAACCAACCUAGUGUCUAGAAUACACAGUGCUGUGACUAAAUCAUGCUGAUAUGCUCAAAACGAAAACCGACAAAAAGAGACCGAUGCCUUGGCCGAAGCCAGGUGUAAGGGCGUACAACGCCGAAUCAUGAUCAACUAGAUCGAAACACACGACAAAGGAGUCGAUGUGUUGCCUGGACCCAAGGUCCACAGAUAUACAGUAUAUAUGCAAUCUGCUCUACAUGUCUAUCAACAACUAACAAAAUGCAACCAACAAAGUAAGAUAUACGAAUGAUAAUCAAAGCAAAGACAUGUAGAGACUACGAUACUGAUAUGAAAAAACAGAGGAAGGGUGAAACGAUCUCACCGACUACCAGCUCGAAGCACCCACCUGUACUAGUGUCGCACCUGUCUCCUAACUGUACACAAUCGUCAACCGGACCUACGAAGGUCCACCAGGUUAGUAACCAGCCCACUAACCCAAAGUACGAGACUCACAAACCACCACACAAGUCCCCGAAUCAGUUUUCCAAAAUCGAUCACCGUAACUCACCGGAAGUCCUGAAAACCACACCGGAACUCUAUCGGGACCCACUAAGUGUACCGAAACUCACCAACUCGUAUCACGAGUCACCCGCUGCCACAAAUCACUCCGAUUUGGAUGUCUUGGCAGCAAACAAAAGGUAACACUACUAUACAAUUAUCGCCAGAUAAUUGUACAAAUCCGGGUUCCCGGAAGUGUCUAUUUCGACACCGGAACCCACCGUCGCUCACCCGUCAUCAUCGAACCCCCUAUAUGAUGAUGGUGACUAGCCGACAAGCCUCGGCGACAACUCACAGGGCAACCAAACCACGUCGGAAGAAAUCCGAAUCGAAACCGCAUUCUUUCGGCGAAUUUCGCCGAAAAACUCAUCGAUAUCGACUUUUCGAUUUCCGCAAAGACUACCGAAUCAUGGACAACCAGUCCAGAGGUCACCACACACGCCUACACACUGCCCACAGUAGCCACUAGGUGCACAAUUGCAUAAAAGCCCCUCUAUUUACAUAAAAUCCAUCAUUUUAUGUAAAUCGGGAGACUUCUAUAGCUCGUUCUCGCAAACCGAGGGCUUCUAAGUUUCGCCGAGACAUGUACUGACAGGUCUCGACGUGCCGGAGGCCGUGCUGAUGAUCCGGAGCGCAACAGCUCUCUGUGGGAAGCGCGGGAGCAACUCGAAGGUUCUGCGAACAGCGCCUAGUAGGGGAAAAUCGCGCAGAACAGAACGAUACGACAUCCGCUGAUCCAAAAUAAGGUGAGCACUGUGAUCAGCACUGAUCCACGAUCACCGUGCUCACCUCUAGAGGCAUCGGAACAGCCUCGGAUCGCCGUAAAAAUGCGCAUAAUCCUUAAAUAGCAGCCAAAAAGGCUCUAAUAGAGCGACACCGCCGAAACAGCGGAAAGGAGUCUCCCCGACAAAAACUAAAGUGAGCACGAUGAUCAGCAAUUUGCCACGAUCAUCGUGCUCCCUUCCGUAGAGAUUAGGGAGGCUCGGGAAGCUCGGAACAGCAAACCACCAAGAUGAGCCCUAUUUCGGGCUUGGCCGGAGUAAGCUUGCUCCGGCCGGCUUCCGGCGGCACGGUGGCGCACGUGGGGGCCAGGGAUGGGUACGGGGGAGGUGAGGAAUACGAGGCUCACCUUAGAUGGCGGUUGGAAACGGUGGCGGCUACGGUGGAACCAACCAAGCCCGCACGAGAUCCGGCUCAGGUUCCAGAGCAGCUGCGGCCCCGGCGGUGGCCGGGGCAGGUCAGAGACGUCGGCUGUGGGUUUCCAAAGGCCGGAGAAGGAGGAAGGAGGUGGUGGGCGAUAGCGGCAGCGACCCGCGGCUCGGGUGUGGCUGCCCGAGCUUGGCUGGGUCUGCAGGCUGGGGCGGCGGCGCCCAAGGCGCGCGGCGGCGGCGGCGACUCGCUGGGGCGGCAACGUCCGAUGGGGAGGGUUGCCGAGGCUUCGGAGAAGGCGGCAGAGGUGGUUCAAGGGGCGGCGGUGCGAAGGCUAACCUCUGAAGCUCGGCUCAGCCCGAGCAAGUCUGGGCAGCCGCGGUUGACAGAGACGGCGGUGGAGGCGCGCAGAGGCGGCGGCGACCGGCCGCGGAGGGUUGCCGGGCUCCGGGGACGACGGCACGGCCGAGCCAAGGUGGCGGCAGCGCGGAGGAGGGCUUCCAAGUCUGCUCAGCCCGAGCAGAUCCGGGGUGGCCGCGCUCGGUCAAGGUGGCAGCGGCGGUGCUCGGGGCGGCGAUGGCUGGCGGGGGAGACUCCGACGAGGAUGGGACGACGCCGGCGACGGACCUAGAGGCAAUGCAGCCUCGGCCAGGCUCUAACCCGAGAGAAAGAGAGAGAGAGGGAUGGAGAGAGAGAUGGAUGGUGGCUCGGCGGCGGCCGGGGCUCAACGGCGGCGGCCGGGGGUGCGCGGCUAGGGCAGGGGAGCAAAGUGAAGGUGGCAGGGGCGACUAGCGUAGCUGGGGGCUGGCUAGGGUUAGGGUUAGAUGGAAGAAACCCUAAAAUACAUAUAUAUAUCAUGGUGCAACUUCGCGAGUUAGCCCCCCCAAACUAUAAUAUAUAAUACUAAGUCCCUCCCAGUACGUGUAAUACGCGCGAAUAGCCCUCCACGUGCGAUCUCACAUGAAACGGUACAUAAAAUAUUGCAACUUUUGCGAAAAUACCGUUUUUCCCUCACUGACCUCAACUCGGUCAUCGUGCAAUCUUCGUAGAUCCGUCUGUCAGAUUUGCGAACGGAUAGUACAGUGCGAUCAGCACGAUGGAGACAACAAAGCUACGAUUUCGUUUCAUCUCGAUCGCUCUCGGAUUCGCGACGAAAUCCAUUCCAACUCUCCAACGGAAGAAACUAUGCACAAAUACAUAUAAAACACGUAUUUGCGGAUUUUCUCGAAAUUCGUACUUCAAACUAAAAAUCCAUCAGCGCCAUAAGUUCCAGAACAGCUAAACCGGUCGAAACGAGCUAUUGGACUACUAUGAACGGAGUCCGGUACGAGCCAGAAGCCAACUCUACGCAUUGAGCUCUCUGGAAAACCAAGUUACUAUUCACUUUAAGUGAAACUUGGAAAUCGCGUAGAAUCUCCGUUUUAACUCAGUUUCUCUCGAAACUUGAUGAGUGCUUUUGUAAUUAAAUUACACACAAAAACAUCGUCAACUAAGAGUUUAGCUAUGUCACGUCCCGAGCCCGCCUAUUUGGCCGGUUUCGGGCACGCCGACAGACCGCCGAACGGACAGGGUUUUCCCGGUACCGCGGACAGAGUCUCCCUUGUACAUUCAAGGCGUCGCAAUCAAUACAAUGUACGAAGUUCCAACCAGGAACACAUUUCAANCUUUUACACUCUGUUUGGAUGGAAAGAAAAUAAUUUUAUCCUGGUGGAUGGAAACUUGGGGAGCGAAAUGAAGAAAAAUGACCCUCCAUAAUGAUUAACUUUUUUCUCCGGUAAAAUAAAUUUUUUUUUCCUUCCAUUAAUCCAAACAACAGAAGAGAAAAUUACAUUAUUUUCUUUUCUCCUUUUCUUUAUUCUUCUAUUCUAUUCUAUUCUAUUCUCUCCCUCAAUGUUUAUUAACAAAAAAUUAUGAAGGAUGAUGAAGAUGAUCUAUCUUUUCGAUUUGCAAAUUGAUCACAUUUUACAUCAUGUUAAAUGCACUGAAUUGUCAAAGUUUCUGGAUGUUUUACGUACUGGGCAUAAUUAACCAUUAAUUAUUGCUCUUCGAAAUUAGGUGCUACCUAAGUCUUCGUAUUAUAUAGCGUUGUUCGCAUCCUAAUUACGUCCUAAUUAUCCAUUAAUGCAACUAUAUUCUGGGUAAAACAUCUGUCAGAAUCCUCUCCGCGAGAAAAGGUCAAAACUAUUGCUUAAAUCGGAGUGCACAUUCAAUGUUGCAGAGAAUAUCGGAUCCGCUUACUCGCCCGACUCUCAAUUUAAACACAACGGGGAGGAUCCGCUCACUCGCCCGACUCACGACACACACACAACGGGGAGGAUCCGCUCACUCGCCCGACUCUCGAACUCAACCUAGUGGAAGAGGAACCGCUCACUCAAGGUGAGAACUACUCACUCAACCAUCUGUCGAUCUCGUGGAAGAGGAACCGCUCAACCAAGGUGAGAACUACUCACUCAACCAUCUCUCAGUCUCGUGGAAGAGGAACCGCUCAGCCAAGGUGAGAACUACUCACUCAACCAACUCUUAGUCUCGUGGAAGAGGAACCGCUCACUCAAGGUGAGAACUACUCACUCAACCAACUCUCAGUCUCGUGGAAGAGGAACCGCUCACCCAAGGUGAGAACUACUCACUCAACCAAGACCGUCUGCAGGGCCCAAAAAGGCUAACCCCUCGGGACCCAAAAAGGCUAUCCCAAUCGUGUGACAACUCCGGAGUGCACUGCUUGUGUGGAGCGACCACACCAAGCUUCGAACAGACAUUGCUGUAUGAUCAAAUCCCCAUCAUUGAGGAUACCCUACCACUUAGACAACAUCACUUGGGAACUGGUUCACCACUAAGUUCAACAUAAAACAAAUGUUUUCUCUAUACUUUACCAAUCAUGCAACUCAUCAAGUUUAAUAUUAACUAGAUGCCACUCGUCAAGUUUAACAUUCUCAACACUAGUUAUUCUUUACUAGGCUCAACAUUCAUAACACCAGUUGGAUCACACUAGGUUUUCAUCCACAUGAACAUCAACCAUCACAUAUAGGGUUAACUACUUCAAGCUCAACUCAUCAAGUUUAACAUUAACUAGAUGCCACUCGUCAAGUUUAACAUUAACUAGAUGCCACUCGUCAAGUUUAACAUUCUCAACACUAGUUAUUCUUUACUAGGCUCAACAUUCAUAACACUAGUUGGAUCACACUAGGUUUUCAUCCACAUGAACAUCAACCAUCACAUAUAGGGUUAACUACUUCAAGCUCAACUCAUGCAUACUAGGUUCAAUGCUAUAACCAUAAAGCCGACUCACACUAGCAUGCAAAUAAUGUAUAUAAAGCAUCUUUAAUACCCUAUAUGCAACAUGUACCAAUAUGCAUAACUAAUCGAUAACUGAACUUAGACAUAGGGAGCAGCCCAGCUGCUUCGGGAUGGCACUCCCCCACCUUUUACAGCGUUCCGAUUGCUCGUCGUUACUUGCAAUCGGCCUCCCGCGGCGCUCGGCACCCGUUUGGGCCCGAUCUCACAGUUGCACUCCAAGAGCGCUCCGCUUCGCCGUUUCAAGUGCAGUAGCUCUUCGGUUAUGUGCCACGAUGCCUCAAAUCCAUUUCCACAAUUUUACGACGUCGCCUCGGCCCUCCCGGCGGACCCGAAGCCUAAACGUCCGUUUCUUUAAUAACUUUGUAACGGCUCAUCGGAUUGCCGAACCGUCUUCGCCAACGCGUUCGUUUACGUAGCAAUUAGGUUUACGAAGGGUCAAAUGAGAUCAAACACUACCAUUUUACAAAAUCCCAUUUUUGAGCCCUAAUAUGCAAUUAAUCUUCAAUAAUCCAAAUUAAAUGGAGAGAACAUGUUUAGAGCACUCUAGAUACUACUAGAACAUCACUUAUGAAGGAUUUAAAUAAAAUCCCAAAAGCUUACCCCAAUGUGAACGCCGCGACGAAAGUACGCCGCUCCAACGGGCGCACGAAAGCUCGAUCCGUCGCCUCCAAUGCAUUCGCAAGCUCGAUCUCCGCCAACGCCGUGAAUUUGAGCGAGAGAUAUAGAGAGAUGAGAGAGAUCUUUAGAGAGAGAGAGAAGGGUUUCUCUCCCCCUCCCAUGCGUGCGUGUGAUGCUUGCUGGCUGGUUGGAGAAGAAGAAGCUAAUCAGCUUCUAAUUAAAGUCAACACCAAACACUAUUCACUCCAGGGGGGCUUGAAAUCUGAUACGUCUAGUCGGAGCCCUUCUGAACGUCCGUUUGCGCUCAAAUUUGACAGGCAGGCUCGGUUUCACAUAACGAGUCCAAAGAAAUUUUAAUCUUUCAGUUUCGACCCCGUUUGGUCACUGAAAACUGUGCCGAACUGUAAUCUUAAUCAGAUAACUUUCGGAUUUUAUUUCUCACUCUACGGGUGUCAGAAUGAUAUGAAACUUUAAAUCUAGCCUCAUAAAAAUAUUUCUGACAUACCCUCCAGUUUUCAUAAUUUUCUGACACUGUGCAUUUUCUGCUAAUCUAUCUGCCCCCUUUUCCACAGAAAAUUCUAAAUUUUAUAUUUUCGCUCCGAUUUCAGCACAGGUCAUUCCUAACCCAUAUUCCACUUCUCUAAAUCCAAUAAAAUAGUAUCCCAUACUAUUUUUAUUUAUUUUCACCUUUAUAUUUAAAAUCCGGUAUGUUACAUUCCGCCGCAACCCCACCGGAACCAUUUAAAUGUACACCGUAACUUCAUAGUUUUAGAAGUCCGGUACCUCACAUUCUCCUCUCCUUAAAAGAGUUUCGUCCUCGAAACUAACUCACUUCAUAUCCAAACCCCGACCCCAAUUCGACUUAUUGAGUCAUCGAGGGUUCCAAUGCACUUUCGUAUCUCGAAGUGGCCUUUUACUCAUCGGGACUAUCCAAGGGCCCACUAUAGAGGACGUGAGACCAAUUUCACUCACGUUCGCUAAGCGUAACACCGAAAGUGCAUUACUACCUCCGCAAGCCUCGAUGGCAGCGCGAGUCGACAUUCGACGACUCCUCACUCUCCAACAUCGCUCGCACAAAUUCAGGGAAUACACUCCGAUUAGAUCACCGUUGCUUAAAAGCAAGAUCGUUGGUGCAUCGACCCCUCGGAAGUGCUCCAGUCCUCAACCGGAUCCUUGCUCUACUGUGAGAUGGCCCACUUUGGCACAUCUCAAAUCUCAAUCCUCACGUGGCUUUCCAUAAUCCAAGUGUCUCCUAGAGACCACUUUACUUUCUCUUUCAAUUGCCACGGCCAACAUUAAUUUGCUUUCGCAACGAGCUCACACGAACACCCAGUUCGUGAAUCUAAGCCAAACGCCUCGACAGAGUUAUCGGCCAAACCGAUCACCUCGGUUUCCACAAGUGAACCACAAGUCGCCAACCCUACGUCGGCCUAACACUUAAACCUGUCUCAACGACACAUAGCGCCUCUCGCUCGCUAGCGUUGACCCAAUCAGCACUGGGCGAAAUUCUCACUUGGGAAUUCGCACACACUCCACGAGUAUUUAUCCUCGGGCGCUCUACACACCGCACACUAAGUCCAGCAUUAGGCAACCUUGCCUAUGCAAACCGGCCACACGAGCACGACUCGCCCACCUCAAUUCGAGGUACUAUUAGGCCCACAGGCCAAACUCAGCACUAAUCAACCACGUUCGAAACAGUGAUUCACCUUCACUGUUCGAUCUACCAGAUCUAUAUCCGAACUCUCGGACUGCUCAGGGACAUCAGCUGUCCCCACCCACGCCGAUCUAAUAAGAUCGCUCACGCGACGCCAUCAUGUCCUAAAACGCGACAACUCGACUGGUUCUCGACCCUCCAGGUCAAGUACGAAGCAACCAACACCGACUCAAAUCGGGCGAAAGUCACAUAAGAGCGUCUAUUCUCAUCACCCGGCUUCAUGUUGGGUGCACCCAACAUGAACACCCUCGGUUGAGAAUACACCACACUUUGAGUUUACCUCUAACGUCCGUCUUAGAGGUUUCACUAACUUGACCCAAUCGAUUCAACUUCCGCCUCGUCAUAGGUUCACGUCGCACUCACGCACCUAUAACCUUAGGAUUCACCAUCCUAGGGUCUCCUAGGUCCAUCCUAGACUCUCUCUUUGCUUACUCUUAACUCGCUCUGAUACCACACCUGUCACGCCCCGCCCCGAGACCGCUACCAAUUUGGCACGAUUUGGGCGCGGCGGGUGUGGCGCCGAACGGACAGCACCUCCCCUGUCCGCCCAAGGCUAAAGCGACGAGAUCAUGUACAACAAGUUUCCAAGAAAACAACUUGAAUACAUACAUGAUCAAAGACAACAACGAGAGCACAACCAGUGCUAAACAUACAAAGAGUAAGCAUCACAAGUAGAAUCAUACAAGUGAAAAAAAGAUAUAUAAACUAACUAUUACAUCACGUUUGGCAUUCAACUUUGAUACAUUUAACCUCAUUUAAACUUUGAUAUAGUCAUUACAACUUUGCUUCCUUUUUCCAAAAUGUAAAUACAUAUAGUCACUCUCCAACCUCACCCUAUACAUCAUCUACUCUCGGAUAUAAACAUAGGGUGAACUAAUGCAAAAUAGGAAGUAAGCUACUAUCAACACUAGGGCGCUAUGCCCUUACCACAGUCCUCAGCCGCUGCUCUCUCGCGUGUACCUGUACCCCAAACCACACGGGGUGAGAACUGUAUAAAUAUAGUUCCCAGUGGGUUCGGCCGCUAACUCCGCCGAUCUUCCCACUAGGUCUAAGCAGGCAUAGGAAGACGAAGACAGAUAGAUAGAUAUAUAUGAAAGCAGUAACGAUAAAGCAUAAUAUAAAAUGAUGCUAAUGUCCAACUAUGCCUCAAUCCAAUGCAAUGAAUGCGUGCACUACAUAGUAAAAAGCCAACUACUAUGCUACUAUGCUCAACAAGGUUACUUGUGUCACAUUGGUGAGGAUCCGCUCACUCACCCGACUCACACUCUAAACACAACGGGGAGGAUCCGCUCACUCGCCCGACUCACGACACACACACAACGGGGAGGUCCGUUCACUCACUCGACUCUCAAUUUAAACACAACGGGAAGGAUCCGCUCACUCGCCCGACUCACGACACACACAACGGGGAGGAUCCGCUCACUCGCCCGACUCUCGAACUCAAUCUAGUGGAAGAGGAACCGCUCACUCAAGGUGAGAACUACUCACUCAACCAUCUGUCGAUCUCGUGGAAAAGGAACCGCUCAACCAAGGUGAGAACUACUCACUCAACCAUCUCUCAGUCUCGUGGAAGAGGAACCGCUCACCCAAGGUGAGAACUACUCACUCAACCAACUCUCAGUCUCGUGAAAAAGGAACCGCUCACCCAAGGUGAGAACUACUCACUCAACCAAGACCGUCUGCAUGGCCCAAAAAGGCUAACCCCUCGGGACCCAAAAAGGCUAUCCCAAUCGUGUGACAACUCCGGAGUGCACUGCUUGUGUGGAGCGACCACACCAAGCUUCGAACAGACAUUGCUGUAUGAUCAAAUCCCCAUCAUUGAGGAUACCCUACCACUUAGACAACAUCACUUGGGAACUGGUUCACCACUAAGUUCAACAUAAAACAAAUGUUUUCUCUAUACUUUACCAAUCAUGCAACUCAUCAAGUUUAACUAUUAACUAGAUGCCACUCGUCAAGUUUAACAUUCUCAACACUAGUUAUUCUUUACUAGGCUCAACAUUCAUAACACCAGUUGGAUCACACUAGGUUUUCAUCCACAUGAACAUCAACCAUCACAUAUAGGGUUAACUACUUCAAGCUCAACUCAUGCAUACUAGGUUCAAUGCUAUAACCAUAAAGCCGACUCACACUAGCAUGCAAAUAAUGUAUAUAAAGCAUCUUUAAUACCCUAUAUGCAACAUGUACCAAUAUGCAUAACUGAUCGAUAACUGAACUUAGACAUAGGGAGCAGCCCAGCUGCUUCGGGAUGGCACUCCCCCACCUUUUACAGCGUUCCGAUUGCUCGUCGUCACUUGCAAUCGGCCUCCCUCGACGCUCGGCACCCGUUUGGGCCCGAUCUCACAGUUGCACUCCAAGAGCGCUCCGCUUCGCCGUUUCAAGUGCACUAGCUCUUCGGUUAUGUGCCACGAUGCCUCAAAUCCAUUUUCACGAUUUUACGACGUCGCCUCGGCCCUCCCGGCGGACCCGAAGCCUAAACGUCCAUUUCUUUAAUAACUUUGUAACGGCUCGUCGGAUUGCCGAACCGUCUUCGCCAACGCGUUCGUUUACCUAGCAAUUAGGUUUACAUAGGGCCAAUUUAGAUCAAACCCAUACAUUUUAUAAAAUCCCAAAAUUGGAGCCCUAACAUGCUACUAUUGCAAUAAGCUUCAAAAUUGAUUCAUGAUUUAAGCAAUUAGCAUGUAGAUAUCAUAUAGAGAGUCCUCUAAACCCAUUCCUAGAGCAUAUAAUUAAAGCUCUAAGGUUCUACCAUUUUUAAAAACCUAGCCUCUACACAUGCUCCAAGUAACCCAAAUUAAAUGGAUUCAACAUGCUAAUCAACACAUUAGAGGCUAUUAGAACACUAAGCAUUAAGGAUUAAGCCAAAUCCCAAAAACUUACCUCAUUGUGAACACCACGGCGAGAACACGCUGCUCCAACGGCCGCGCAAAAGCUCGAUCCGUCGCUCCCAACGCGUUCGCAAGCAUCAUCUCCACCAAUCCCGCGAAUUUGAGCGAGAAAUAUAGAGAAAUGAGAGAGAAAUCUAGAGAGAGAAAGGAGGGUUUCUCUCUCCCUUCUCCAUGCGUGCGUGGGUGUGGGUGUGCUCGGGCUGAAGGAGAAAGAAGAAGCACAUUGCUUCUUAUAUACUUUAACACCCAAAACACUAUUCACUUCAGGCAGUUUUUGCAGUUCGGAACAGUUGGAGCCCUUUUGAAUGUCCGUUUGAGCUUAAAUUUGACAGACAGGCUCAGUUUAAUAUACUGAGUAAGAAUAUAUUUUAAGUUUUUAGUUUCGACCCCAUUUGGUCACCGAAAACUGUGCCGAACUGUAAUCUUUAUCAGAUAACUCUCAGAUUUUAUUUCUCACUCUACGGGUGUCAGAAAAAUAUGAAACUUUAAAUCUAGCCUCAUAAAAAUAUUUCUGACUUAUUCUCCAAUUUUUAUAAUUUUCUGAGACUGUACAUUUUUUGCUAAUUUAUCUGUCCCGUUUCCAACAGAAAAUUCUAGAUCUUCUGUUUUCAUUCUGAUUUCAGCACAAGUCACUUCUGACUUAUGCUUUACUUCUCUAAAUUCAAUAAAAAUAGUUUCUUACACUAUUUUUAUUUAUUUUUAUUUUUAUACCAAAAUCUGGUAUGUUACAUUAUCCACCCCUUAAAAAGAAUUUCGUCCGCGAAAUUUAAACCACGCCUCAAUUUAGCUCCGCGAGCAAUUGAGGGUACCAACUCAUUCCCCCACUCCAAAGCGGCUUCACACUAUCGUUGUUCCAGAAGCGGCUCAUACUGAAAAACGUGGGUUUAAUCCUAAACUCAUUUGCAAAGUGUGAUACAAACGUGCAUCACGGAUCUUGCAAGUCAUAGUGGCAGCGCAAGUCGGUACUCGACGACUCUACGCGCUCCAACACCACUCACCAUUCGGUGCACAAAGAACUCUUCUUUGCACUUACCUUUCCUUCAGGGAAUACAUUCUGAUUCGAUCACCGACAUUGCUUUGGAACAGUAUCACCGAUGCAUCGCUUCGUCAUGAGUGCUCUAAUUUCGCACUGACCCUUAACUUUAACGUGAGAUGGCCUAUCUUAGCACAUCCCCAAUUCCAAUCCUUCAACUUCACGUGGCUUACUACUAGCUCAAGGUCUCACCAAAAGCAUUUCAUUUCUGAUAUCACAUGCCACGGUCAACAUCGAACUAUUUUCGCAACGAGCUCACACGAACGCUUCGUUCGUGAAUUCGAGUCAAACUCCUCGAUAAGGCUAUUUGCCAAAUCGCUUUCUUUGGUCUCCACAGGUGGACCAUAGGCCACCAAUCCUACGUAGGCUUACCGCCUAAACCUGUCUCAAUACGCAACGUCUCUCGCUCGCAAAUGCAGACCCAAUCAUGAUCGGGCGAAAUUCUCACUUGGGAAUUCGCUCACACUCCAACCAGGAGCAACUAAGAUCCCAAACCGUUACAGAUCCCCGGGUUGGGUCACACUCGUACUCUCGGUAUUCUAUCAAUCGCACGACAUGCUCUACCGAGUCACACGUACCACUACCGGCUACUAUACACCUAAUGCGAGUCACAAGCCCUACGAGUGAUCCAUGACACGCUUCACACCUAGCAAUGCUCGAGUGCUACUGCCAACACACUCACUCGGCUGAUCCAUAUCCGCACUCCACGAGUACCUAUACUCGGGCGUCGCACGCUACUAUAGCGUUCCUUACUAAGUCCAGCAUUAGACAACUCUUACCUACGCACGUCGACUUUACGAGCACGACCUUCCUACCUCACGUUGAGGUACUACUAGGCCCACAUGCUAAUACUUGGCCAUUAACCGAUUGUUCCGUCAACAGUGAUUCACUUUCACCAUUCGACCCACCGAAACGACAUCCGAAAUACUCGGACCACUUGGGUGUUCUCAAAUACCACGGCUCAACUCUCGCAAUCUACUAAUUAAGUUGCUCUGAGAGUCGAUUAGCCACCUCUGUCUCUACCGCGAGUUUCACUUCUCGCCAAAGGUCACUACUAGCACUUCGCUAGUGCCUUCUGGCUCUAUACCUAUACUAGCAGGUACUACUCCCUCACAACACGAGCAUGCCCGGGUAUCUAUACUCACCCGUCCACUCGGUCUUCAACCUGGGUCACGUAUCUACGGCCACCCGACGCUUGCUGCGAACCUUUAGGUUGCAUUGUCCUCAACGCCCUCUCUCCCGACCAUGCCGCAGAUGGCACACCUACAGGCCAUCCUAGAGAGAAAUAGGCUGUCGCCAGUGUCAGGCCCCGGCUGUCACCUUACAGACACUCGUCCCGCGCACAGCCCGGUUGCCCACACCUGUAGCACUUGCCCUCUCACAGCUUGCAAUACUAUGGGUAACGAAAACACCCACAAACGACACAUCUCACUAAGGACCGAACACAGUAGGUCCCCGGAACUCAGAAUCACGAGCGCGAACACAUUGCACUCAGUUGAAAACUUGACGGACUACUGAAUCCACUCAUUGGCCGUCCUAUUUUCUUUUUCCUUGCAAAUGGACUCACGCUCCCUUCGCACAAUUGCACUGCCUUGUUCUAUCCACAAGGCCUAAUCCUCAAAGCUCCUCUAAUCCUCCUCUUUAGAAAAGCUCCUGGAGAGUGAGAGAAGAAAGAAUAUGGAGUUGAAGGGGUACUCCUUGCUGUGAACAAGGAAAGAAGGGGUGUGGGGUUUAUACAAACCGCCACAACUACAUUUAAACCCUCCCCCCCCCAACAUUUCUCAUUUGCAGCAGAUCUCAACCUACUGCCAGACCCAUCGUGUACCGGUACACGGGCUUUUGUACCGGUACAAAGCUGUGCAGAAGCAAACCCGAGAGCAUCCUCCUCGAAUUUUACCAAAGGGUACCGGUACAAACCAGGGGUGUACCGGUACACUUCUACAAAAACUCAAACCCUAGAGCAAUGCUUUUCUCAAGCCGCUUGCUGUACCGAUACAACCAUCAACAUGUACCGGUACACUUUCCUCCAGAACGUAGUUUUAGCUUGUUUUCGACUCCAACUCGCACCGAUCGAUGCUAAAACUAUUCUAACUCUUUUAGAGCCCAAUUUUUAUCCCUCCAACAUCGUCAGAAUGUCAAUUGGACUUUAUCCAACUAUUUCUCUCAACGCACUUUGGUCAAUUUGACUAAAGUUUGAUGUUUAUUUACCGAAAUUUCGGUACGUUACAUUCUCCCCUCCUAAAAGGAGUUUUGUUCUUAUUAUCCCGCUCUAUGUCCGGGAUGCAAUUCACGACACGGGAGAAUUCCCGCUCGUAUUCCCUCACGGCGCGGUCUACCUGCCGCAGCUUCGAGAACCUUUCCUGAAGCUUUCUUUUCCNNNNNNNNNNNNNNNNNNNNNNNNNAAUUUGUCACGCCCCGGGGUCCCUUUAGGUUAAAAACACAGCGGAAAAUUUUUUUUUUUUUGCAAACCUGACCCCAGGGUAUGCCAGAUCCGCCACAAAUACAGGGAAUCCACUGUUCACACGGACAGAGUCUCCCCUGUAUUUGCACGGCGUCGCACAAGUACAAGAGUAUAGCCAGGAAACAACCACAACCAAAUGAAUAUAAAGAAUACUAUACAUUCAUACAUUCACCAUUCACAUCACAGUUUUACAUUCAGUGGUUAAAUAGAAAUUCACGAAAAUUCUUUUGAAAACUGUUCCCCACACGGAAACCUUUAAUCUUUAAGAAACGCUACCACGAGGGGUAGAAAACCUUUAGUUCAAGAAAACACAAUCCUUUAUUACAUUCCAAAAUCAACUGAAAACUCAGAUAUUCAAAUUAUAAAACAAAACUGAACCAUGUAAACCGACUAAGCUAUACAUAUCCACAGAAAUAAAAGGGUAAUAGCUAAAUCGAAAUAACCUGGGUCGGAAGCUCUAUCGAUCGCUACACACGUACCUCACGUCUCGUCCCACUACUCAACGCCCACGAUACCUGAAAAAUGGUGGGGGAGGUGAGAACAUGUAAACAUGUCUCCCCUCCCAGUGGGUACCGCAAGCCGAAGAAGGCGAGGAGUACUCACCGGAUCAGGAAGAGAUAACCAACAGUAUGGAUAAGUAAAAUACAAUAGCAACGAUAAUGAACGAGCGAGAUAUAUAUAUAUGAAAACACAACUACCGCUACUGUAAUGUACAACUGCAAGCAUACAAGGAUAUCAAAACUAUAGUAGCAAGAUAACUGUAAAGAAAGAAUUAGAAGUAUAUAUGCAACAACCGCUACUAUAGCUAUAUGCGUCAACCGGACGAGAAGUCCAAAAGUACCGAAUCUGAAACCAAUGCUCUCUUGGUCAGCACCGCAGACCUCAAGCCAAUGCCCUGGAGGUCCGCACCGCAACACCUCCCGACAGUACCACUGCCGAUCUAACAUGCAUAUAACCCCUCUAGGGCUCACGGGUUGUCACCAUUCAACCACUUUUCCGGAAAAGAACACUCCUUGCGGUGGAUCAGACCGCCAGUGUUCGUGAAAUGCAACGAGUAUCGGGCGAUCAAUGCAAUAUGGUCAAUGAUCAACCGUCGGCAACCAGCCGACAAUCCUGCCCCCCAGGGCCUAUCGACCACAUAGGUCAUCACUGUAAAGAAGCACAAGAACCGACCACUCAGGUCAACUAGGAUGGAACAACUCAACACCCUACCAAAAGUAUGUAGAUACUGAUCAAUAGGUCAACUACUAUAUAUAUGCAAGAAUCGAUCAACAAGUCAUCUGAGUAUAUAAUCUAGAACUACCGUCGGCCAUAGCCGACAAUCCUACCCUUCAGGGUACACCGACCUCAAAGGUCAUCGACGAUGGAGUACAAGAACUGACCAACCAGGUCAACAGAUAUAAGAUAAAAGCACCGAUCAACUAGGUCACUGAAACGAAGUACGAGAACCGACCAAUCAGGUCACCGAAACAAAGUACGAGAACCGACCAAUCAGGUCACCGGUAUCACAUAUGGAUAAACUACUCUACUCCUACACAUGAUACUAAGCAUAGAAAUACUCAACAAUAGAAAAAUAUGAUAAGGGAUAAUAGAAAAACCGGGAUGCAGAAGCUCAAUAUGAUACCAUACAGUAAUAGCACACGCAAGAAACAGGGAAUAGAAAGAGACAAUCACCGAGCGUUCGCACGCACUGUACCCUUAGACGUCGGAUCGAAGUACGCAUCACCAUCCACGUUUUCCUGUAAAUAGUACUCGGAUCAGAUCUCUAGACCGACGAAACCGCAGGGAAACAGGAGCAACUCCGGACCUACAAGGGUUCCACAAAUCAGAAAAAGGAUGACCCUAAUGUAGAAAACUAACCAAUAAUUAAAAUCCCCCUCAGAACAAAGGAACAAAGGGAAAUCGGUCGGCUAAAGAACGAUUGCCAAAUCACAACGUCGGGAGAAUGUUGACCCUCGAAUAUCCAGCCGCGCAGGGCUCGCCGUCGGGGUCCAAGUACUUAUCCACCCGGAACUGCCCCCAACUCCAACGUUGGAGUCACCACCGCUGCCCCGACUCUAAUACCUGAAAACUACCCAGCAUUGGCAUGCUAAACACGCCCACACUGAAAGUCGGCCUCGGAACACGACAUUCUGUUGAAAAAUAAACUCUCGAAAGCCGGGUUCCCUAUCGAAACGGGUGUCGUGUUUUUGACACCGAUCCCCCGGAACGAUAUCGGGGGCCUGCCACGCAGUCGCCAUAGGCAUAUACGUUGCGACACCGGAAACAUACCAUGCAUGCAAGAUUGAAAACUAGUUUAUAGACGACUAAUGUCGGCACAGCAGAAGGGCCCUCAGACCUUAAACAGCUUUAAUGUGCACUAGUUUACCUCAAACACUACGAAGAAGAGUCAGCCGUCGUUUCUCUUGUACAUAAGCUUUUCGCCUAUGACACCCUGAAACGACCCGGGUGACCUGCCAGAAGAGGCUUAAGCGACAUCACAAUAUGAGAUUCCGAGNNNNNNNNNNNNNNNNNNNNNNNNNNNNNNNNNNNNNNNNNNNNNNNNNNNNNNNNNNNNNNNNNNNNNNNNNNNNNNNNNNNNNNNNNNNNNNNNNNNNNNNNNNNNNNNNNNNNNNNNNNNNNNNNNNNNNNNNNNNNNNNNNNNNNNNNNNNNNNNNNNNNNNNNNNNNNNNNNNNNNNNNNNNNNNNNNNNNNNNNNNNNNNNNNNNNNNNNNNNNNNNNNNNNNNNNNNNNNNNNNNNNNNNNNNNNNNNNNNNNNNNNNNNNNNNNNNNNNNNNNNNNNNNNNNNNNNNNNNNNNNNNNNNNNNNNNNNNNNNNNNNNNNNNNNNNNNNNNNNNNNNNNNNNNNNNNNNNNNNNNNNNNNNNNNNNNNNNNNNNNNNNNNNNNNNNNNNNNNNNNNNNNNNNNNNNNNNNNNNNNNNNNNNNNNNNNNNNNNNNNNNNNNNNNNNNNNNNNNNNNNNNNNNNNNNNNNNNNNNNNNNNNNNNNNNNNNNNNNNNNNNNNNNNNNNNNNNNNNNNNNNNNNNNNNNNNNNNNNNNNNNNNNNNNNNNNNNNNNNNNNNNNNNNNNNNNNNNNNNNNNNNNNNNNNNNNNNNNNNNNNNNNNNNNNNNNNNNNNNNNNNNNNNNNNNNNNNNNNNNNNNNNNNNNNNNNNNNNNNNNNNNNNNNNNNNNNNNNNNNNNNNNNNNNNNNNNNNNNNNNNNNNNNNNNNNNNNNNNNNNNNNNNNNNNNNNNNNNNNNNNNNNNNNNNNNNNNNNNNNNNNNNNNNNNNNNNNNNNNNNNNNNNNNNNNNNNNNNNNNNNNNNNNNNNNNNNNNNNNNNNNNNNNNNNNNNNNNNNNNNNNNNNNNNNNNNNNNNNNNNNNNNNNNNNNNNNNNNNNNNNNNNNNNNNNNNNNNGCGUGGCGGCGGUCGGAGGAGGUCGGGGCGGCGACGGUACGUCGGCGGAGGUCGAGGAGGAGGUGGUGCGCCCCACUGUGGGCGGCGGCGACGCGCGGAGGCCACUAGGGCUCCGCCUCGGCCCGCACCAGGUCUGGGCGGCUGCAGGAGCCGCGAGCGGCGGCCGGCGGCCUCGGGGACGGCGAGAAUCGCGAGCGGGAGGUCCCCGGAGGUGCCAGGAGGGCGGCGUGGCCAGACCAGAAAGGCGGCAUCGCGAGGGGAGGGAGGUUCCACAGCCUCGGCCAGAUCUGCUCAGAUCUGGCCGCAACUUGCCGUGGCGGCGGCGGCGGCUCGGGGCGGCAGGAACGGCGCCGGGGGGGGAGAUUCUGCCAGAGGGUGGUGGUGCUCGGGCUCACAGGCUUCCCCGAGCACAGCAGCCAACAAGAUGCAAGUUGGGGCCCGGAGGAAAAUCGAGAGGAGGUCGGGGUGGUUCUUCCGGCGGCCGGACGAGCUCGCCGGCGGCCGGGACGCGCGCACAAGUUGGGCGGGGACUAGCUGAGGUCGGCUAGGGCUAGGUAGGGAACACGGUUGCCGGGUCUAGGGUUCCUCAUGGAUGAAACCCUAGGAAACAAUAUAAACAACGGCCACUUUGCACCAAAGUCCUCCGAAACAGAAAAUUUCCAACGGAGACCUUCACAGCGCGAGUAAAUCGCGUGUACGCACCACCACGUUCGACCUCGUGCGAUUCGGUACAUCAAAUAUGGGGACUUUUGCGAAGAUACUGUUUUCCCUACACCGACCUCUUCUCGAUCAACGCGCAAUCUCCGCAGAUCCGUCCGUCAGAUUUGCGAACGGAUUGCACCAGUGCAAUCAGCACCUCGGAGACAACAAAGCUACACUUUCGUUUCAUCUCGAUCGACCACGGAUUCACGACAAAAUCCAACCUUCUUCCAAAAGAAGGAAUCACAUNCACGAAGCACCGUCGGAAUAAUUCCGAACCGAACCCGCGUUCCGUCGGCGGAUUUCGCCGAAAAACGCACCGGAAAUGCAUUUCCGAUCUUCGCAAGGGUCUGGGGCCUUGGACAAUCAGUCCAGAGGUUAUCCUCAACCCACACUUGCUGCCAACAGCAGCUAUGACGAACCAAAAUGCAUAAAAGCCCUCCAGAAUACCUGAAAUCGCAUUAUUUCAUGCGAUUUCGGCGCUUUUAUGGUCCGACAGCGCAAACCCGAGGUCAAACAGCCAAGACGAGACUUCUGCUGACUGGUCUCGGCGUGCCGGAGGCCGUGCUCACCUUUCGGAGCACUGCCGGCCACUGUGGCACGCGCACAGGCGACGCAAAAUUAGAGAAACAGCGCGCACAGGAGGAAAAGCAUGCCUAUCUCGCUAACCAGGGGUUCGUCGACCCUAAGUGAGGUGAACACUGUGAUCAGGACUGACUGACGAUCACCGUGCUCACCUCCGGAGGCAUCGGAACAGCCUCGGGUCGCCGGAACAGUGAGAAGAACAGAAAACACUGCGCAGAAAGGCUGAAAUCCAGCUUACAGAGCUAGGCAGGGCACGGGGUGGCCGGCGGCGGCCGGACGGCGGGCAGGCCGGCCAGGGGUUGGUGCGGCAGGUCCGAGGUGGCCAGGACUGGCGUCAGCAGGCGACGGGAGGCGACGGCGACGACGGCCAAUGAUGCCCUAGGCACCCAAACCCGAAGAGAACACGGCUCGCUUCGGCCGACGGGGAGCUUCGGCGGCGCAAGCGACGACGGCGGACGAGUGCGCCCGACCAGCCGGGACCCGUGCUCACGCCGUUCGGCGGCGGAACGCGGCUGCGGCGGUGCUGGACCAAACCGAGCCCGCGCGGGUUCACCAUGGCUCCAAAGGUAGCGGCAACCAUGGCGGCGGCCGGAGGAAGGUCGGGGAGACGGCGGCACGUCGCCGGAGGUCGAGGAAGGUCGGCGCGCCAUGCUGCGGGUGGCGGUGACGCGCCUAAACCGAGGUCACCCAAACUCGGCCUGGGCGCAUGCAGGUGGCCGCAGAGAGCUGGGGCGGCUCCGGCGGCGUGUGCUGACGGUGGGGCCGGCGGCGGAGGAGGUCGGGCAGCGACGGUACGUCGGCGGAGGUCGAGGAGGAGGUGGUGCGCCCCACUGUGGGCGGCGGCGACGCGCGGAGGCCACUAGGGCUCCGCCUCGGCCCGCACCAGGUCUGGGCGGCCGCAGGAGCCGCGAGCGACGGCCGGCGGCCUCGGGGACGGCGAGGAUCGCGUGCGGGAGGUCCCCGGAGGUGCCAGGAGGGCGGCGCGGCCAGACCAGAAAGGCGGCAUCGCGAGGGGAGGGAGGUUCCACAGCCUCGGCCAGAUCUGCUCAGAUCUGGCCGCAACUUGCCGUGGCGGCGGCGGCGGCUCGGGGCGGCAGGAACGGCGCCGGGGGGGGAGAUUCUGCCAGAGGGUGGUGGUGCUCGGGCUCACAGGCUUCCCCGAGCACAGCAGCCAACAAGAUGCAAGUUGGGGCCCGGAGGAAAAUCGAGAGGAGGUCGGGGUGGUUCUUCCGGCGGCCGGACGAGCUUAGCCGGCGGACCGGACGCGCCACAAUUUGGAGCUCGGAUGGACAUCAGCUGCAGGUCUGACUCAGCGCUAGGUAGGGAAAACACGGUUGCCGGGUCUAGGAUCCUCAUGGAUGAAGCUCCCUAAGGAAACAAUAUAAACAACGCCACUUUGCAACCAAAUCCCCGAAACAGAAAUUUCCAACGGAGACCUCACAUCGCGCGAGUAACAAUCGCUGUACGACACCACACGUUCGACCUCGUGCGAGUUCGGUACAUCAAAAUAUGGGACAUCUUUUUGCGAAGAUUACUGUUUUCCCUACACCGGACCUCUUCUCCGAUCAACGCGCAAUCUCCGCAGAUCCGUCCGUCAGAUUUGCGAACGGAUUGCACCAGUGCAAUCAGCACCUCGGAGACAACAAAGCUACACUUUCGUUUCAUCUCGAUCGACCACGGAUUCACGACAAAAUCCAACCUUCUUCCAAAAGAAGGAAUCACAUACACAAAUACAUAUAAAACAUGUAUUUUUGGAUUUUCUCGAAAUCCGUGUGUCAAACUCAAAAUCCGACAGUGCCACUAGUUCCAGAACUGCUGAACCGGUCGAAACGAGCUAUUGGACUGAUAUGAACAGAGUCCGAUACGCACCAGAAGCCAACUCUACUCCGUGGCUUCUCCGAAAAACCGGAGUUACUAUUCACUUAAGUGAAAACUAAAAAUCGCGUAUCUUCUCCGUUUUAGCUCAGUUUCUCCUGAAACUUGACGAGUGCUUAUAUAAUUAAAUUACACACAUAAACAUCAUUAACAGAGAGUUUAGUAGCACUGUCAAAAAUCUCAGUCCUUACAAGUUGGUUAGAAUAGAGCAUGAUAGUGUAGGGACAUGUAGCUGUAGAUUGUCUUCCAGCUUUCCUACUAUCUUUACUUCCUUCUGUAGACUUAAUGGGUGGACCGACGAUGUUGAGGGCGGCAUCCAUUGAGGACUACUUGUUUUACAGUAGUUCUCACGCCCUGUUGUUACCCUUCUUUUGCAGAGCCAUCGGUUCCGGCUGCUGCAUCUUCUGAGGCCGAUCGUGGCAAAGGCGUUGCGAGCUAUAGCCCUACCCGACGAGUUGCUGAGAUAGAGGAUCCCUACUGCAGGUAGAUUUACUUUUGUUCGAGUUCAUGUACAUACAGAUGUUAUAACUCGCUGGGGCGAGCCCUUUUUGUAUCUGGAUAUUAUGUAUGUAUAUGGAACUCGCUUUUGUUUUACUUGUUCUUUUCUUUCUAGCAGUUCUAUACUACUGGUUGUAGUGUUGUUUGAUUACGGUUUCAGUACAGCUUCGCUUCGUAUACAGGGAAAACUCCUUCGUAUACGGCGGGUCUGUUGGCGUGCCCGGAGAAACGUGUAAUCUGGGGCGUGACACUUUUAGGUUGAGUGGAUAAUUCAAAAUAUGAAACUAAAUUUUGAUUUAUUCAAAUUCAAACUUAAAAUUACAAUUUAAAUUUUAAUUUGAAAUUUAAUUUAAGUUUGAAAUAAAAUUUGAAUAAAACUUUAUACCAAAUUAAAAUUUAAUUUAAAUUCAAAUUCAUAAGUUAGAUUCGAAAUACUUGAUUAAAUUUUAAUUUUUAAUUUAAGUUCAAAUUAAAAUUUAAAAUUAUAUAUUUAAUUUUUAAAUUUUAACUCAUAUUUUAAUUAAAAAAGUUGAAAAAAUAAAUUUAAUCUGAAUAAAUAUCCAUUCCGUCCAGAUUCAACUUCCAAUCCGGCCUUCUAGGCCGGAUUGAAAAAAGAAGUGAUUGGGGGAUUCCCAUUCCACUCGGGAAUCGGAAUGGGAAUGGAACUCCUGCAUACCAAACACCCACAAACGUAUUCACCCAUUCCGAUUCCGAUUCCAAGGUGAAAAAGAAGCGAACCAAACACACCUACAGUGUCUGUAAAUUUUUGCCCUGCUGACUGUAUGGUUUUGAGUAAAAAGACCAUGACUACAAAAUGUAGUAUCAUUGUGAAUAUGCAUUUAUUUAGAUUCAUUACUUCUUUUUUAUCUUUAGUCUGUGUUUGGUUCGGAUAUAAGUAAGAACUGUUUGUUCUAGUAAUAAGUACAAGUUCAGGUAUAAACAUGAACUAAGCCAACUUUGUGUUUGGAUGAAAGUUUGGUUGUUCUUAGGAAUAAGAUAAAUAGUAUUUGGAUGGUUAGAUUGGAAUAAGAGGAAUAAGAGUUAUAAUUUGAACUUAAAAUUAUAUUAUCUAAUUAAUUAACAUCAAAAUAUUACUUAAAAAUAAAUAAUAACUAAAUUAUUAAUAAUUAAUAAUANUCGAUAUCUACUUGUUUUUUUAUGUUCAGGGAUAUGGACAGAAGUGAAGACAUGAAAUCCCAGCUCAUCACAAGUUCAUAAAUCCCCCACAUUCAACAUUUAAAUCAUUUUUUGAUCCACUUAUUCUCUCUCUCUCUCUCUCUCUCUCUCUCUCUCUCUUAAUGGGUCUGUUUCCUGUGUCACCAACUAAUCUCUAUUGAAGUUUCCCAAGGGAAAAUCCUGAUCCACUUGAUUUCACAGAGGGAGUAUCCUUCAAUAGGAAAUUUUCUUAUCCUAUAAUCAUAGAAAUUUAAAUAACACAACAAGAAUUAAAGUGUUCAUUAGUACAGACCUGCUAUUAUUCAAAUUAGUAAAUAAUUUUUUCAAUAAAGUUCAAAAGAUUUGAUAAAGAUACAUAAUAAAUCAUUAAAAUAUUUUAUUGUUAAAAAAAAUAAAUAUUUCACGCCAUUUUGUGCCGGCAUACAUGUAUUUUUUAUAACCGGCACGUAUCGACACUGUCCGACACGCACCGUACCGGCAAGUUUCCAGCACGACUCCGUGCAACGACACUUAAAUCAAUGUAAUAGACUAUCAGAAAUGAAAAUUUCUUAUUCUAUGAAAUAUAUUUUUAGAUAACAGGCUAUAGGAAAUGAUACAGUUAGCAGUACAUUUUUUGUUUAAUUUUGAUAUUCAGAAUUUUUCUGCACACGCUCUUCGACUCACUAUCCAUCAAAUGAAAAGAUCAAAUAACCACCUUCUCUUUUUUUGGCUGACAGUUGAAUCACCGCAAUUGGUGGAGAUUGGUCUUCCAUUUUAGAUGGAUGUCAAGAUCAGGAGUGUACAGAAAAAAAUGCACGUAAGGUUGCAGGAGAUCUAUGCCUGAUUCGAUCAUCCUCAUUCUAUGAAGUUUUGAAAUCGACUCCCAACUGAAUAACUUUUAAGAGAUUAGCAGAGAUGUGAGCCAGGAGGAUCUCAAGACCAAGCAGAAAAACACCAGACACAGAACUGCAGGAAAUCUAUGGCCGGAUUGAUCCCCACGGUAAUAUGAAAGCAACAUAAGUUGGAAAUUCAAAAAUAAAUAUGAGGAGACCAUAUCAUUUGCAUAUAUAAAACAACAGUCUCCACUAUAACAGCAUUGGAACAAUUGCUACAAGUUCAGAGAUUUCAAGGUUAACAAGUUUCUACUUGCGAAAAAAGAGGGGGGAAAGUACUAAACACCCAGGAAGAUCAAUAUAAGGGAUUAAGGCAUGGACAUCUUUAUGGUACAAAGAACAAUUACCAAUCAAAGAAGAGAAAUGGUUCAAUCAUCACAGAUUUUGAAAAAAGGGGGAAAAACUUAACAAAAUAAACACCUUUAAUACAAGGAAGGAAACACGAUAAAGCGACUAUAAAGGUAUAGGAGUUAAGCAUGUUAGCAAAGCAGCAGAGAGCUUACUCCCCUCCUGUUAGAGCGGAGCUAAGCCAAUCUGAAGCUGAGGAUUGGAUCUCAGAUUCCACAUACAAUUGCAGAUGUAUAGGAGUGACAGAUAUCUGCAUAUUAUUGAACAGACAAUUAUUCAGAUUUUCAAGGGAGAGAGAGAGAGAGAGAGAGAGAGAGAGAGAGAGAGAGAGAGAGAGAGAGAGAGAGAGAGAGAGAGAGA
rnacentral:lncRNA from 1 species